UUUAAUCAGGAUUCAUAAGUCGAUUGGUUUUCUCAAUAAACUCGUGCUACUGAGUAGUCAAAGAUGCAAACAGCUAGAACUUUUGGUGCCCAACAUCAACCUGCCAUCUCUAGAGACUCUAGAUAUAAGGGGUUGCUCGCGUCUCAAGAGCUUCCCUGAAGUAUUGGGAGUAAUGGAGAAUAUAAGAUAUGUUUAUUUAGACCAAACUUCCAUAGGUAAGUUGCCAUUUUCAAUUAGAAAUCUUGUUGGCCUCCGACAAUUGUUCUUGAGGGAGUGCAUGAGCCUAACUCAGCUACCGGAUAGUAUUCGUAUAUUGCCUAAACUCGAGAUAAUAACGGCUUAUGGUUGUAGAGGAUUUCGAUUGUUUGAGGAUAAAGAAAAGGUGGGUUCAGAAGUGUUUCCAGAAGCCAUGCUUGUUUGUAAAGAAGGAAGCGCGGAAUCGCUUGAUAUGUCCUCUCUUAACAUAUGCCCUGAUAAUGUCAUAGAAGUAUUUAGUACUUCAAUUCUUGAUGGUAAUGUUGUAUUAAUGAGAGAAGGGAUUGCUAAAGGGAGAGGAAAUUGGUAUGAACAUGAAAGCAACGAAUCAUCCUUACGAUUUUGGUUUCAAAAUAAAUUCCCCAGGAUAGCUCUGUGUUGUGCUGUAGAACCUCCUGUGUGUAAAGACAAUAUGUUGUUGGAUUUCAAGUUGAGUGUUCUUAUCAAUGGCACUGAGCAAUUCACUUCUUCAUGCAACUACAUAUUUUCUGCUGAACAAAUAAUUAUUCUGUGUGACUUAGUGUGCAAAGUUGAAAGAUCGUAUUUAGAGCAUGAAUGGAAUCAAGUAGAUAUUUUAUAUGAGUUUAAAUACCUUAUGCCAUGUGGCUCUAAAAGAAUAAUGGCUACCCAUGAGAUGACCACAACAAGAAAUCCAAGUUGGUCCUUCAUUUAUGCCUAUGAAGAAGAUAACAAAGUGGGUAUCAGAUUUCUCUCCCAGUUUGUGGAAUGCGUAGAGCAGCACAGAAGAAAUAUAGCAAAUUAUUGGUUUGGUUCAGUACUUUACAAAAGGUUUGUUUGUGAAUUUAGAAAUGAUUAAUUAAGUAAAUGAUCUUAUAAAUAUUAAGAAUUUUGUUUAGUCUAUAAAAAAAAUUGCAUCUAUUGGUCGCCGUAAAAUUUUCCGUCAGCAUCAUUUUAAUUUUUAAGUAUGUUAAAAGAAAAUAUUACAGAGGUUAAAAGUGCAAUUUUGGUCUUAGGAACUAAAAAUGAAUUUAUGAAUAUUUAUAUAGACAUUUACUUAAUUAAUCCAUUGAAAAAUAACUGGAUUUUGACAUGCUUUAUUUAAUUAAUUUAUUUUUUUGAAAUCAUCUGUUUAAGUAUUGAAAUCUACAAGAAUAUACUAGCUCCGUCCCUAAUUAUAAGACCUUUUUGAGAAUUUUCUUUUAUCCCUUUUUAUAAGACUCCUUUGUUAUUUUCAACUACAUUAAUUAUUUCUUUACAUGCAUGCCCCUAUUAAUUAUACAUUUUUUUCUUCAAUCAGCAAUAAAUAACAUGUUGAAAACAUAUAUCAUCUCUCUCUUAAAAGAUAAAAUUGUAAAAACAAUAUUAAUUACAAACAUAUUUAAUACAAAUAUCCACUAUCUUAAUUCCCGUUAUUUUUUCAAAAGGGACAUAUAAUUAGGGACGAAUGUAGUAUAUAUAUAUAUAAACACACUUUAUGUGGUCACAUUUAUAAACAAAAUACAAAUUUUUAAUUAUUAUAUCUGGUCACUUUUAUAGACCAAAUAUAAUAUGUAAAUAGUGUGUUAUACGUAAUAUAUAAUAUAACUAAUAUUCAAUAACAAAUAUUAUCUCAGAUCUUUCUCUCCAUUGGUCGAAAAAGAGAGAUUUGUCUUUCCCGAACUGAAAUUAAAAUUAUUUAAUUUAAUGGUCGAAAAGAUAGUGGGACCAGCGAUUGGGAUCGAUCUCGGAACCACAUACUCAUGCGUCGGUGUAUGGAAACAUGACCGUGUUGAAAUCAUCGCCAACGACCAAGGUAACAGAACCACACCGUCUUACGUCGCCUUUACCGACUCAGAGCGUCUCAUUGGUGAUGCCGCUAAGAAUCAAGUCACCAGGAACCCUAUCAACACCAUCUUCGAUGCUAAGAGGUUGAUUGGCCGUAGAUUCAACGAUGCCUCUGUUCAGAGUGAUAUGAAGUUGUGGCCAUUUAAGAUUAUUUCUGGCCCGUAUGAAAAGCCUAUGAUUGGUGUUAACUACAAGGGUGAAGAUAAGCAAUUUUCCGCAGAAGAGAUCUCUUCCAUGGUACUCACGAAGAUGCGUGAGGUUGCUGAGGCCUACCUUGGCUCUGCCAUUAAGAAUGCCGUUGUUAGUAUCCCUGCUUAUUUUAAUUUUAAUCACAGACAAGCUACUAAGGAUGCCGGUCUUAUUUCUGGUCUUAAUGUCCUGGGAAUUAUCAAUGAGCCCACUCCUGCAGCCAUUGCUUAUGGUUUUGACACGACCAGCUUUGGAGAGAAGAAUGUCUUGAUCUUUGACCUUUGCGGUGGUACUUUUGAUGUCUGUUUGCUAACUAUUGAAGAGGGUAUCAUUGGGGUUAAAGCUACAACCGGAGACCCCCAUCUUGGAGGUGAGGAUUUUAAUAACAGAAUGGUGAAUCACUUUGUUCAAGAGUUCAAAAGAAAGAACAACAAGGACAUCAGUGGCAACCCAAGAGCUCUUAUGAGGUUGGGGACUGCUUGUGAGAGGGCGAAGAGAGCUCUAUCAUCUACUGCUCAGACCACCAUUGAAAUUGAAUGUCUAUUCGAGGGAAUUGAUUUCUGCUCCUUCAUUACUCGUGCCACAUUUGAAGAGCUCAACAUGGAUCUCUUUAGGAAAUGUAUGGAGCAAGUUGAGAAAUGUUUGAGAAAUGCUAAGAUGGACAAAAGAAGUGUCCAUGAUGUUGUCCUUGUAGGAGGUUCUACCAGAAUUCCAAAGGUUCAACAAUUAUUGCAGGAUUUCUUUAACGGAAAGGAGCUAUGCAAUAGCAUUAAUCCCAACGAGGCUGUUGUGUAUGGUGCUGCAUUUUACGCUGCAAUCUUGAGUGGUGAGUACAAAAGAAGUGUCCAUGAUGUUGUCCUUGUAGGAGGUUCUUCUUUUGUUAAGAUUGUUUUGAUUUUUUUCAUAUUGAUUAAGAUCUGUUUGUUCACUUUGCAUGUUGUUGAUGGCUUCUUAAUUCUUUCUCUUUUCCCUGUUCUUUUUUGUGAAAUGAGUAUUGUUUUUCCUAUAAUCAUGUUAUCAAUGCGAAAUAUCAACCCAACUUUGCUGAUAUCUAAUCUCUGCCGGUGAACCUGGCUCGCCACCUCUCCCAACCGCAUUUUUCUCAUACCCAUUGGUCGAACAUGAGACCUUGUUUAAGAGACCAGUGUCUAGUUAAUGUCAAUUUGUUUAUUCUAAUACAUUAACAAGUGUAUAUUGUGGAAGCUUUGUAUUUUUGUUAAAUUUUUAUGUCUUUUAGGGUGUGAUAGGUAGGUGCAUGCUUAAUGAUGUUGAUGAAUUUGAAAUGGUUUUGUUGAUAACAUUUUGGUUACAAUUUACAAGGAAUUUACGGUUCAUUUAUUUUAAUGCAUUUGAGACGUAUGCAACUUUUUUCGAUAUUUUUUGAAAUAAAUUGAAAUGUCUUUCUGGAUGGACACUUAAACUCUGAUUCGUAAGAAAAUUUAAGCUGUCCCCUGUUCUCACUUGUGUGGUGCUACAAAUUGUUCAUGAAUCUAUUUAUAUGACCUCAAGAAAAUUUGAGUUUUAUUGUAUCAUAUUAUAUAAUAUUUAAAUAUCAUCAUCAAUGUUCAUGAGGGGUAACCUUGGCACAACACAACUGGUAAAGUUGUUGUCAUGUGACUGGAAGGUCACGGGUUCAAGUCCUGGAAAGAACCUCUUGUGUAAAAAUCAGGGUAAGGCUGCGUACAAUACACCAAAUGGUGGAACCCCUUCUCGAACCCUGCGUAUAUGGGAGCUUUAGUGCACCGGGUUGCCCUUUUUUAGCACAUGAAUUCAGAAAUGCGAUUAAUAUCACAGGUUUCAUGAAACAUUUAUUAAGGGUAUGUUAGGAAAAAGUAACGAAUACUUCAUUGAUAUUGCAGAACAGCAUAUAACAUGAGACAAUUUCUUUUUUGUUAAAAUGACUUAUAAUAUGGGACAGAGGAUGUGAAGCUUUAUUCAUUCAAAAUCCAUAAGAAAUUAUUUUCUGUUGCGCAAAUGCAAAAUAUUUUAGUCAUAGGAGAUGGUUAGAAUGCCGUACAAAAAAGGGAGAAUAGAAUGAGAGAGUAGCAAUGAAAUAUUGAUAGUGACACGGGGAUAUAUUUGACAAUGUUAUAGUGCAUCUGUACUAUGGUGAGAUGUCAACUAAAUAGUUUCUGAGUAUGUUUUAAUAUAUUAUAAACGAAUAAAUAUAUUUGGCAAUUUUAUAGUGCAUCUGUACUAUAAAAAGUGUUAAGAAUCAAGUUUGCCUAUUCAUAAUUAGGGUUAGAAUGAUAUCUGGAUAUUUGAAUUACAAACCAAACUGAUUAAAUCUUUUGAACAUGUUCUACAGACUAUUUAUAAAUAGAGGUGUCUGCCAAAUUCAUCAAGAAGAAUGCAAACAAUUUUGAUAUAAACCGAUUGCAACUCUUUCUUCAAAAUAUGAAUAACUUACAUUAUGGCAUUUUCUACUGUUGGAACUCCAGACUAUAUUGCUCCAGAAGUGUUACUGAAAAAGGGUUAUGGCUUGGAGUGCGACUGGUUUGUUGAUAUUCUUUUUCAUUUGCUUGAGCUGCAUCUCUUUAUUUUAUGUUUUGGUAGUUUUCCCAUAUUCGUUGACACUACAGGUUGUGCAUGGAUUUUUAUAUCUUUUGCUUUGACUUGGUUCAAUUACGUUGAAAUUGUGAUAUUCGUUGUAAUCGUCUUAAUAGGUUGAACAACCAAUGCCAGCUGGAUCCGGACCCAUCAGAAAGGUAAAAUUUUAUUUACUUGCAUGAAGAUUAAGAUUUUUCAGGAAAAAAUAGUCAAUCAUCCUGUCUUAGCUAUUCGCUUUUUUGCAUCAUUCUGUUUAGAUUGCAAUAUUCAUUUCCUCUAGAUAUAUAAACAAUUAUAAUAGCUGCAUGAAUGAGUAUGUCUCCAUUGAACUUACGCACAACAUUAAUCAUCGUAUAAAUCAAUAAUCAUUGGCUUUAUGCAUCUUUAGAUUGAUUCAUAAGUAUUUAUUUAUUUUUCUUCACUAUUGAAUUCACCAGUUCUAGUUUUUUACCCUGAUACAAAAUUUCCAGGCUAAAUAUAAGUUGAUUGAUUUUGUAGUACAUACAAUAACUCUUAUGUUUCUUGUAUCCUUUUUGUCUACAGAUGCUUUUUACUCAAGAUCUCAGUUUUGUUGGCUAUACAUAUAGGAAUUUUGCAGCUGUCAAAGGGAAGCGUCAUUCUAUUGGUAAGUACUUUCCGCAUAAAGGAUAAUAUGUUACUAUUUUUUAUUUUAUUUUUAUUAACACAUUUUGAUCUUUUGAUGCCACAUAUUAUGAAUCUAUAAUGCUGUAUUUCAACUUUUUAUCGCCGAUUUCCAUUUUCUUUUUGUACAUGAGAUCAGUUUAAAGUUAUUUGCCACGGAAAAUGCUGAAAUUUAUGAAAGAUAUUGCACAAAAAUGUCACGAAUAUGUCGUGAUAUUUUUAACCUUUAUAACCCUUUGUGUUUUCCAUCAAAGCAGUGACUUAAUAGUUAAUCGUUUUUGUACACUUUCCGUAAACCUUUCUUUUGUUCUAACUAGUUACAAGUUAGGCUCAUCGCUAAAUGUUACAGCAAAAACAGGACUUUCCAUCUAUAUAAUUUCUUUGCAUUAUAAAAUAUAUAUUUUGAUCAUCCAAAGCUAUACUUCACAUAUUAUUCUUGGUGCUCCCCAUGUAUAGCUGUCCGUAAUUGUCGGUUAAUGUCAUCAAAUUGGUCCUUAAGUAGACGAAAUUGAUUGCAUUGCUCGGCAUAUAUGUGUCAAUCUGAUGUAACCUAUUGUUAAAAGUUAAGAAUCUUUAGAUAUUUGUUUAACUGUACAACUUCCUAGAUUGAUUGUUAUUACUCCUAGAGUAUUCAACUUCCUAGGCUAGUGCUUACUAAUUAAGCAUUCAAUGCACUUAUUGUAAAACCAUUAUAAAUACAAUAGCGUGAUCUCAUUAUAGACACACAGAGAGUUUACUCAGAUUUUACAUAUUUUACACCUAUAAUGGUGUGGACUAACGUGAUCGUGCUAAACUUUGGUAGACUAGAAUGCAUGUUCAUUCUGCUUAAUAUUAACAUCUUCAUUCACACUUGUGUUAUAUCAGUCUUUGCUUUUAGUCUCUAUAUUUUUGUUUUGUUUUAUACUCUGAAGCAUAAGAAAAUUAGCAUUUAGUCCUUUUUUGGCUUUAAUCUUUCAAAUAUUUGUCUAUGUUGGAAUUCGUCCUUAUAUACUCCAUAUAAUUAGGUGCUAAGAUCAAUAAGGUCUACAUAAUACAAGACUUUAACCAACAUGAACUAGAAUUAAAAUAACAAGGACCAAAAACAAAAUUGUGUAUGUAUCAGGGACUAGAACACUAUGGCGUCAUUUGAUCCAUGUAGCCGACCCCACUUAGUGGGAUAAGGCUUGGUUGUUGUUGUUGUUGUAUCAGGGACUAGAAAAACAAAUUACAAAGACUAGAGGUGAAAUUGAAAUAUUUAAGGAUAUCUAUGCGCCUAUCACGAUAUUUAAAUACCUUCUGGAUAUUUCAGUUUAUACAUUUCUUUAUCCUUUAUGGCUAAUGAUACUGUACCACUUUUUUUUGGACUUGAUACAGAAAAGGGAAGCGUGUCACCACGAUCAUCAGUCGACUCUACACACAGUAAUAAAACCUUUUUCAGCUUUGAUAACUACUUCUAUGUCUAUUCAGUUAUGGGACUCAAACCAACCAGUUUUGUUCUAGGUGAUUCUGUAAUAAACUAUUCCACCUGAUACUCAAUGGACAUCACCAAAGCAUAGGUGGUUGCACCCUAUGGUGCUUGUGAAGAGUGACCUAACCUUAUUGUAAUGUACAUUAUGACCUUCUCGUGUUGCAAAUAGAUGGAGAUUCACCUUCUUCGAUGAUGGUGUCUUUUCGCCUUAGUUUCAGUGCUAACGGACAUCUAUCAUGCAGAACCUAGUGUACAGGGAUUGAUAUCUAUGUAUGUACCACUUGAUGAAUGGUUCACUUGUUGUUGAUGUUUGUAAAUUAGAAGAUGCCCAGGUUGGCAAAUUAGAAGAAAAAUGUGUCAUCACUUGUGGCAACUUCUGACCCUUUUUUCCUCAAUUCUCUCUCUUUUUUUUAACCCCUUUUGUUAUGCCUUGUCUUCAAGCUCCGAUUGUUUUUAACCCCUUUUGUUAUGCCUUGUCUCCAAGCUCCUAUUGUACUUCCAUCAUAAUAGCAAAUAACUUUUUACUGCUAUCAAUUUAGAUGAAGUUCAAGUUGUUGUGACUUGUGACAUUUGUAAUGUUGACAUAAUGAAAAAAAUGAUAUCAAAUAUCAAUGGAAACUUUGUUAUGAUUCUGAUAUGUCAUUCAUUAGAUGCAUGAAAUUAUUUUUACUAGAGGUAAACCUGUUCAUUGUGCAUGUGCUUAUUAUGUAGUUUUUAUAUUCCAGGGCCACUUGGAUGAACAAAUUUGGUUAGGUGUGAAGGUUGUUUUGAUAAAUCAUUAUAACUAGAUAAAAUGUAAAUAGAAUAGUCGUCAUAAAUUACGAAGAGUAACUAUAUGAAAUUUGUGCUAGAAUAUAUAUGAUAUGUCCGUUGAGAAACGGAUGGAGGCAACCAUGGCGGAAAGUGCUCUGGUACAGUGGCGAUGAGUCUUCAUGGUGGAACGAAAGGUGUCUGCAGACACGUUAGCGCUCCAAUGCUCAAAUCAGUGUAGGAAAUGAGAUGGAAUUUGUGAAAAGUGUGGGAAAAGUGAAUCAUACCUUGGGGUGAAGCUAAGUCACCCUUAAAUAGGCGUGUAUGAGAAUAACCGUCUCUGUGAAGUGCGGCGCUUCAUCAGGAGGCCGUUGGGAGAUGUGUAAGGUGUUUGAUGCACGGAGACGUGCUUAGGUGGAGUGGCGUGCACCAAAGUUAGGGUGUUUGUCCAAGUGACACGCGUUGCUCUGGCGUGUUACUUGUCCACGUGUCAGCGUUGGAUUGGAUUUAUAGCGGGUCCAGAACAAUAUAUAAAGAGAGAUAGUUAGGAUCAGUUGACAACAGGUGUCACCAAAUCCCAAGGGUUGUUUCAAUUUAAUUUAAAGGCUUCAAUUUAUUCAUUUCACAAUGUUACCUGACACUUUCAUCGUUCUUUUUACACUUUCAUCAUUCUUUUUACACUCUCUCCCCUUUUAUUUUGGAAAUCCACCACUGUCAAAAUAAAGGAAUAUAUAAAGAAUGAUGAAUAAUUGAGUGUAAUUGUUGAUUUUAAAGUUCAAUAUAACAUUAAUUAUUUAUUUUUCCAUAGUACCAUUAACUACUUAUUAAAGGGAGAAAUAACCCUAGAGCGCUUAGACGAGAUGACACGCGUCUCUUCAAAUUUAACCAAGGUCCUGAGUUCGAAUCCAACCUUGGGCAUGCAACAACGUUAAAAUUCUUAGGGAGAGUUUGCUGCCCAUUUGAGUCCCACAGGGCUCCAUUCUUGAGGAGAGUUUGCCGCCAAUUUAGGUCCAUAAGGCUCAAGAGAUUAGUAUCUGCAAGGGAGAAAUAGACUGAAUAGGAUAGUAAAUGAUCAAAUGUAAUAUAGGUAAAAUAUAAAUAACAGUAAAAAGGAAGUAUAAUAAUUUAACAAAGUAAAGUGUUAACUAAUGAGUAAACCACUAAAUUGAUCCAUGUAUUUUUAAGUCACUCUCAAAUUAGUCUCCAAUUCUAUUAAUAUUUCAAAAUAGUCUUUGAUCACAAGCUGUUUUAUUUUUCUCGUCCUGCGACAAAUCGGCCACCAAGUUUGCAAAAUCGGCCACCGAUUUUUCACGAGACAAAAGUAUCCAAAACCAGGUCAAAAUCGGCAACUGUGGUACAAAUCGGCCACCGAUUUUGACAGACAUAAUGCACAUUUUUGAGUCACUUUUUAACAUAUACCAUUGAUCAUAACUUCAUAAGAUAGGAGUAUGUGCCAAUUGCAAUUGGCAAACAAUUUAUUUACUAUUUUAGUCAAACGAAUUUUCACUUUUGAGGAAUCAACAUUGAAUUAUGAAAUGUUGAAAUGAUAUAAAACAUUGAAUUAUGAUCCAUGUGUGCUGUUUUGAUAAACAUGUUGCCUUUAGUUAAUUAAACUUGUCCAAUAAAGCAUAGACUCUUGAACAUGGAUCCUAGCUUAGAGCUAAUUGGUUCACAUUUCAAAGAUUCAUGCUUGUGUUCUUCUUGCACAACGUCAAAUGAAAUGUUUCAUAGUCUUUCCAUUCAUUUCUCUUAAUCUUAUCAUUUUUUGUGGAUAUUUUUUUAGAGGCACCACUCUCUUGAUUCGCCCAAGGCAUCCAAAUUUAAAGGGUCGGCCCUGUACUUACCUUUUCCUAUUUAUCUCUUAAAGUCUAUUUUUUUUAAUGAUGGUUCACUAAUAGGGGAUUUUAGAUUCAUGGCACAAUUCAUUACUGGACUUGGCUUCAAAUGACCACUUUAAGAGCAUGAGUGACUCUAAUAUGUAAACAUUGUGUUACAUAAUAUCCUAAAUGUUUUAUAUGAUAAGUCUUUGUCCAUAUUUGAUCCAACAAGAAAAUAUAAGUUCACUAAUGUGCAACUAAAUAGUAAUUAUAGUAGUCUUUUGUGAUCGUGUUCUAUUUCAUGUUAGUGUUGUCAAAGGAAAAAUAUCAUUUUCUUAUAGUAGUUUUAUACUAUCUUCCAAGAAAGAACUUGGUUAAUGCCAUCAUAGGUUGAUGUUAAUUUAACAUUUGGAAAUCCACUUGACCACCAUUUGUAUCAGUUUCUGUUGCAAUUUGACUCAAAAAUUGAAGUUUGGAAAAAGUGAAGAAUCGUGACACGAUUCUUAUGGCGUGUCACAAUUUCUGAGGCAGAAUGUAAGGUUGAUCCUAGAGGCAAAUCGUGACACGAUUUAGGGGUUUUUUGAAGUAAUUCACGAAGAAAUCAUGCAAAUCGGUAAAUUAAGAACAUCUGAAGAAAUGUCAAGAUUUUGGGAAUACCAAGAAUGAAGGUUCAAGAGGCCUAUGAGACUUUACAUAGGGAGGAAUUUUGUUCCCAAGUUUUGAGGCAAGUCAUUUGAAGAAAAAGACCUAAAAACGACAAAAAUCAGAGAAAUUGGGCCCAAGAAGGAGCAACCAUGCGCCUAGGGCAUGAUAAUUGUGCAAUAUGCGCCUAGGGCAUAUAGAAUGUGCCUAGGGCAUCUUAAAAAAUGCACUGAAUACGCCUAGGGCAUGCUAUAUGCUUGCCGAUCAUCUUAAAUGUGAGGGGAGCAAGCGUAAUUUUAUUUUUUUUAGUGGGUUUAGCCCGCGUUCUUUGCCCAAACCUAGUUAGAAAUCUCCACUAUAAAUACUAGUCUUCCUCAUUCAGAACUGUGGCAGUUCAAGAGGAAUGCAACUUUAGAGCUUCGGGAGAUAAUCUAUAUUUUCCUUUAUUUUCUAGGGUAUGUUUUUAUCUUUAGUAAUUUGUUUUUAGUUACCAUGUGUAACUAAAUCUUUUUAGGUUAGAAUUCUAAGAUGAACCUCUGUCUCUGUUUAUUUUUGUUGGAUAUUUAUUUAAUAUUAUAUGUCGUUUAUUAUAUUUAUUUUUUUGUUCGCUAUUAAUUUCCUGAUUCAGUUAUUUAUUUCAAAGGAGUGUAACCCUAGAUUAGGUACUUAGGUUAUGACAGGGCCUAACGUUGUUAUUACUAUCUUUAUAGCAUUAUGCUAGUAACUAUAUGUCUAGGAAGUAAGUGAUUAUUAACUAGCAAAAAAUGCCGAAAGAAAGUUGACCGUAAUAGUAACUACUUAGGAGGUGACAUUACUAAGACUGAGUAGUAACGUUGCUUAACCUAGGAUGUAACUGGUUAGUAAAUAGGGAAACAAGCGUCUUCGGGGAAUAAGACUUUAUCGAAUCACUCUCUUGAAACCCUUAGUAAGGUAGACGUAGAUUAGGGCUGCCCGUUUGUAGAACUACUAUGAGCGUAGAGAGAGAGUGUGGUAUGAUUGUCUUAAGAUUCAUAGAUGGGCUGACCUAAGGGAACCUUGGCCUUCAUUGCCUUGGGAAACACUAGAACGCCAAUUUAAGUUUAUGUUUCCAUUACCUUUGAAUUAGCAAGACGCCGCACCUAAGGAUCACCAUGUGAUCAGCAGAUGCAGUUAGUCAUCGGAGGGAUAGACCAAUUAGGUUAGUAAUGUCUCAACGACCUCAUCACUUGUAUAGUCUACCUAAGAUAAAUAAUUGCGACAUUGUUGUUACUUAAUAUCCAACAAUAUAAACAGGGGGAAUUCGAAAAAUUCUAACCGCUGUUUAUUUUUCUGCAACCAAAACAGGUAAACUUGCUCUGUUGCAAACAGAUAAAAAUUGCAACCUUUCUAACCCUUUUAUCUUUUACAUCGUCAACUUACAAAAAUAAGUAACGUGAGUUUUUUUUGACGAAACGACAAUCUCUGUUGAUAUGAUUCUCUACUUUUCUCUUUAUUACUUGGUAAACGAUUUGCUACAUUUGCCAUAUCCGACCAUCACAGGGUAUGCAAACAUAGAUGCAUUAUUAUGCAAACUUGCCAUCAUGGAAGUUGGAAUACCAAAAGGUUGUUCCCUAGAUAGAUUAUGCAUGGUUAUGAACCUAUCAUCAAGUCUAGCCCUAACUUGAGGAGAAACAAGAAGGCUAGUAGACACAGGUACACCCGCAGUAAUGGAGGCACAAAGGUCCCCAUUUUUAGUUGUGUCACUACAACAACAAUUGUUGAAACGGUUGUAGGAGCAGUUACUCUCAUUUCCGUCAAAAUUUGCAUAGCCAUGGUUGCUCCCACGACCGUUGAUACACUAGCGCCCAUUGUAGGGGAAGAUGUCUGUGUAGAUUGUGCUUGUGAAGAGGACUAUGGUGAUUGUGAUGACGCAGAAGUACCAGUAUUGGUUGGUCUAGCCAUUUCUUUCAUAGUUUUACCACUUCUUAAAUGCAUGCACAAACAAAUGUAUUUUCAGAAGAAAAAAAAGUUCACCAAAACACUUAACAAUUUCUAAAAACGGUUUUCACAAGAACAGUUAGAAAAUAAUUUAAAAGUUAUGGAAGUUAUUUCCAAAAUUUUGCACAAACAGGGUCCUACUGGGCGUGCCAAUUUGUUUACUGAUGUUUUUGGUAAACAAGAAGGGCUGAUUUGGUUAUUACAAGCAGGAUCAAACCAGAAAUCCUAGGAUAUAUUGUGCAAAGUUUUUUCAGAAAGUGAGUGAGUGUUCAUCAGAUCCAUAAGUUGCUUUAUGAACAAGAUGAAUUUGUGUAGUGUCUUUCGAUAGAAAGAGUAACGAAAAUGCAAGUAAAAGACUUUAAAAGUUUAAAACGCAUAAACUUAAAGAAAAGGUAAAUUGCCUUGCAUUAAUGUAAAGGUGGUUCGACAAAUCAGAUUACAUACAUUUUGUAUGACUCUUUUCUUUAGACGCUGGUACUUCGAGUGCUAGAAUUCUAUAAGUGAUUUGUGACCCAUUUUCCAUAUGAAAAACUACUAUUUAUACAUAGUAAAAUAACUGAAAAAGGCUAACUGCUAUGAUCAGCACUUCUUCCAUCGAAAAUUGAUUGUCCCCCACGUCUUCACUAAGGCAACUGCUGCUUUUGAAUUUGAAUUAUUUCUUCUCCGACAGUAAUUGUUUGACUUCGACGAAUUUACGUCUUGACUCGCAUCUUGUCGAACUUAUAAACUUUUAGAAUCUUCCAAACGCUAAGCCCAGACUUUGUCAAAAUCCUCGUGUUGAAGCAACAAAAAAAAAAAUGAUUCCUGAAAAGACAAAAGUCAACAAAUGUUGACUGCAUUAAUUGAGCCUGUUGAAAUUGCAGGCUAACAAGGGGUUGUUCGGAUUAUAUAAUGCGAAAAAAAUCAAGGAACGAGCCUUAUUUUUUUUUUUAAGUUUUCGAAUUAUAAAAUCCGAAUUGGUGAAGAACUCAUUUUUCGCCCUCGAACAAAGAAAAAACUCAGCUCGAAUUUUAAAAUCCAAAAAUCACAUGGGCAUUUUUGAAAAAAUUACAACGCGCGUGAGAAUGAUAUAGGAUGAGAAAUGUAAUAGUCUCAAAAAAAAAAGUUUAGUUGGGUUGGUCGGGUUAAUUAGGGCUCUGACGGGUCCAAAAUAAACACCUGAACUGAACUUACCCAUAACAGCAUGUAACAAAAGUUUAGUAUUUUAGUUUAAUAUUUUAGUAUUUUUGUUUAAUAUUUUAGUCCCUAUUUUUAUUUUUUUAACAAAAGUUUACGUUUCGUGUUUAGAACGACUUCAGUUUUUAUUAAUUUAUCUAUAACUUUAAAUUAAAGAUUAAAUUUAAGGUUAAAUAGUAAUAUUAUUAAAAUAAUGAUAUUUUAUCAUCUUAUCGAUGAUAUGUCAUCAACAAAAGUCAUUUGAAUACAAAACAUGAACUUUUGAAAACAGAAAAUUUAGAGACAAAAAACGUAAGUAAUUUUUUUAAAAAACCAAAAUAGCCAACCGAACUAGCAACAUGGAGAAAUGGAUUUGAAAUCUUGAGAGGAGCGUCUCGGCCAACACCACCACAACAACCCAACUAUGGUUUUAAGGAAAUUUUUAGAGGACUAAAACUGAAGGUUAAUAUAUUUAUAGAGAAUAAAAACAUAUUUAAUAUUAUAUAAGGUCCAUAAGUUCUAGCUUAACUAACAAAAAUACCUAAAUUGAUAGGUCACAUGGUUUGAACAAAAAUAAAAAGAAUAAAAAAAUAUAACAAUAUUUCUAAAUUCCAAUAAGUGUUAGACAUAUCCUAAUAAAAACUUUUGUAUCCAAAGACAAUCAAUAAAUAAAUGGAAGUAUUACUAAUUUUAAAUCUACUCAUAAGAUGAGUAACACUACAUUAAUAAUUAUGCUAGAUCACUCAUCUAAAAAAAUUCUUAUAGACCACUUUCAAAUUCCUCAUUUUUUUUUUCAAUGUUCAAGUUUCAAAAUUCAGCAAAACCUACCAUCUAUAUCAAUACAUUGAUGUGAAUAUUAUAGUACAAAAUAAUUGGCAUUGAAUUAAUCUUUUUUUUUUUUUUAACAAAUCAAAAUGGAAUAAUUUUUUUUUUAUAAGCAAGGAACGUAGACAGACAUCAAGAGGCAUCAUCGACAUCCCAAUUAGGUUGGCACCUCGAGAGACCUCCAUCCUAUGCCGCCACACUCUAAAAAAUUUAUUAAAAAAGGGGAAAAAAUAAUUACCAAAGGAGGGGGACUAGACCAAAACCCUCAAAAAACGAAAAGAGAAGGAGACAGAAAAUAAACAGAAGAAACAAUAAAAAGCAAUCAAAAAACAUAUCAUGAGGAUCUGUAAUUUGGAAGUCCACAUCUAUCCCUAUAGAAAUCAAGCCUUAAAUCAAUAGGAAGAGUGUCUAGCCAAACUACACCAACACUGGAGUGACCCAUAGAAGCCAACUUAUCUACGCAGCUGUAUCCUUCACGAAAAAUGCGGGAAGAAAUAACCUAAACCUGUAAGUGUUGGGCAUAUACAUAAUUUUUUAAAGCAAUCCGAGAAUGUGUUGGGCAUAUACAUAAUUUUUUAAAGCAAUCCGAGAAUUAAAGUUACUGAUACCUCUAAUAUAAAUGAACAUAAAUGACAAGGUUCGGCUUAUAUAAAGAAAAGUUUAAAAGGAAAGUUUACAACUCACCGUCACCACUCUUUUUGAUAUAUAUAUAUAUAUAUAUAUAUAUAUAUAUAUAUAUAUAUAUAUAUAUAUAUAUAGCAUCACUUUUGUUGAAAUUAUAAAUUUUGAAUUCCAAUAGUAAAAGCCUCAAUUUUCUAUUCAAAAUAAAAGCCUUAACUUUAGCAUAUUUUAAAAUAAUAAUACUUAAAUAUUAUUUUGAUCCCUUCGCUUAUUUUAAAUAUUUAACUUGGUCUCUUAUGUUUAAAAUUGGUGAAUUGAGUCAUUUAACUUAUUUAUAAAGUUCAAUUUCGUCCCUUAAAACCGAUCAUUUUGGUCCUUUAACUUAUGUAAGUCAAUAGAACUUGGUACCUUAACUUAUAAAAAUAUACUAAUCACAUCCAUUUAUUUAGGGAUCAAAUUGCAUUAACUUACAAAAACUAAAAGAUCAAGUUGCACUAACUUACGUCCCAAAUUGAUUGUUAUCAAGUUGCACUAACUCAUCAUAAAAAAAUUGUUUUGUUUAAAUUUUAAAUUUUGAUAGUAGUCAUUAAAAAACCUCAAUUAUUUUAUUCAAAAUAAAAGCCAAAAUUUUGAAAAAUUCUAAAAUAAAAAUAUCAACAACAUGGGAAAAUCAUAUAAUUAUAUAAAUAGUAAUAACAACAAAACUUUUAAGAAAAAUUUAAUGAUACCCAAAAUUAAAUUUGAGCAAUAACCAGUGAUUCUCAAAUUCCAAUUUCACUAAUUUUCUACGAAGUUUUUAUUGCAAAAUAUUUGAAGUAUGUCAUGUCUUUUAAUAGCAUAAUCCACGUAAAUUCCUUUUAAUAACAAAAAUUAUUUAAUGCAUUAUAAUUUUAUAAAGAAUUUUUUUUUUUGACAAGCAAGGAGAGUGGACAAACAUCAAGCGGCAUCAUCGACAUCCCAACUAGGUUGGCACCCCGAGACACCUCCAUCCUAUGCCACCACACUCGAAAAAAUUUAUUAAAAAACGGGAAAAAAUAAUUACAAAAAGAGGGAGGACUAGACCAAAACCCUCAAAAGAAACAGUAAAAAGAAAACAGAGAAACACAAACACAAACAAAAGUCCUCCAAGAACAAAUCAAGGGAAUCUGUAGUUCGGAAUAUAAAGAAAAAUGUACACAUGAAAACUCUCUAAUGAUCAUUGCAUCAUAAUGAUUCUCGAGAUAUAACAUUUAAUGAAGUUGUAAAAAAAUCACAAUAAAUUUCUUUUUAAUAAAAGAAAAUUAUGGUGAGGGAAUGUUGACUUUGUAUAAGGUAGGGAAUUUUGAUUGAGCCAUGCUAUAUGGCACGGCACAACUCACCCACAAACACACACGACACAUUGAAAAACAAGUAACUUGCUUGGUAAAAUUAAAUCUAACACUUCAAUUGGCAAGACUCAAUUCACAUAACACUUCAUCUUGCUUUUUUACUGAAAAAAGUUAUUGGUUUUAUUGUUCCUAAUGAUUUGAAUUGUUUGGUCAAACAAAUUCACCAAAAAAAAUAGAAUCAAUUAACGAAACACCACAUUUUUAAAAAUGUCUAAUAAGCAUGUAUUUUGUCAACUCAAUAUGACACAUAAGUGUUUUUCAAUGGUUAAAUCUCAACAAAGACCAAAAAUGAAAGAAUCUGAAUUAAUACAGGUUUAAUAAAAAAAUAUGGUAUGAAAGCAAACAACUUGAAAAAAGUUAAAUUUAAUAUUUUACAAAACAAUUAGACUAAAUAAAAAAAACGCCACAUCAUUUUAAAAUUUCUAAUAAGAAUGCAUGCAUUUUACCAAAUAGAAGAACACAUCAACAUUUGUCUAUUGUUAGAGUCCACAAAAGAUCAAAAGUGAAUGAAUUUGAAAUAAUAUAGAUUGAAUAAAAAAUAAUAUGCAUGAAAGUGAAUGACAUCCAAUUACUAAAAUUUAAGAUAAAAAAAUUAAACAAAUGACAUCCAAAAACUAACAAAACAAUUAUCAUAAUGAUGGGGCUUUCGAAGGAUUCUAUAUUAGGAUGGAUGAUCAUACUAGACCAAUAGCAACCACAUAGGUGAUAUAAACAUCACAUCUUCACACAAAAUCUCAAAGCUAUAUGUAUAUGAGUCAUCUCACUUAUAUAUUGUUCAAAAUAUAUUCUUUCUUCCAAUAUGUAGACCAUUAACUCACACUUGAUACAUUAACAUCUUUUAAUCAAGUGUACGACUAUUUGUGUCUGUAAUUAUGUAACAUAAUCAUAUAAGUUCAACAAGAGUUACAACAUUUUCAAAAAGGUGGAUUGAUAGUAAUUUCUCAGAGCUAGGUUUAUGGUCCUUUUUUUUCUUGAGAAAAGAGAAAGAAAAUUAGAAGAAACAAAAUGAAUAAGAAAAAGAAAUUUAAACAUGGGAGAUAUUAUAAGGGAAAGAAAUAUGUAGUGUGUUUUGUCUAUGAGAUUGUAGGAAAUAGAGUGAGUUGCCAGUAUUUUUAUGGUUUCGAUAAAGGAGUUGGAGAUUUUUGGAUAAUUAUUUUACCAAAAAGUUAGACUUAAUUUAAAAAAAAAAAAAACACAUCAUUUUAAAAUGUUUAACAAACAUGUGUUUUGUCCACUUAGAAUAAACAUCUGCAUUUUCCGUUGUCACAUCCCACUAAAGAUCAAAACGGAAGCAAUUUAAAAUAAUACAGGUUGAAAAGACAAAAUAGCAUGAAAAAGAAUGGUAUCCAAAAAAUAAAAUUAAAGAUAUAAAUUGACAUCACAUCUUCCCCAUGACGACAUUAGUUUUUAAGUCUUGCCACUCAUUUUUCUCAACAUCUAAUCUUGCAUCCAAUAUAUUUUUGAUUAAUAUCUUGAAUCCAAUAUAGAAUGUUAACUCCAAUAUGACAAAUUAACAUCUCUCUAAAGUGUGAGACUAUAUGAAUCUGUGAUCUGUUGACAUAGCUAAAUAAGCUCAUACUGAGACACAACAUAGUAAAAAAAAAUGUGGGUUGGUGGUGGUUUCAUGGAGGAAGAUUUAUUUUAUUUUCUUUUUUUGACGGGAUGGAAGGAGAUUUAUGUUUCUUUCUUACAAGAAAAUAGAAAAAAUAAAGUAGAAAUAGAAAUAAGAUAAAAAAAAGUAUUUUAACAUGAGAUAAACGAUGAGGAAAAAAAGAGAGUGUGUGCUUUAUUCGUGAGUGAAUAUGAAAUAGAGUGAGUUGUUGAUAAUUUUACAGUUUUGUUGAAGGAGUUGGAGAUUUUGGGGUAGUUAUUUUAGCAAAAAAAACUUAUUAGACGAAUGCUAUAUCAUUUUAAAAUUUCUAAUAAACAUGUAUUUUUUCCACUCAGUCGAACAUAUCCACACUUUUCCAUUGUCAGACUCCACCAAAAACCAAACGUGAAGAAAUAUGAAAUAAUGGAAGUUGAAUAAAAAAAUAUAACAUGAAAGUGAUGACAUCCAAAAACUAAAAUUUAAUAUAAGAAAAAAUAAAUGACACUAAAAAACUAACAAAAAGUUCGUCAUAAUUUUGAGACUCUCAGGGGGCUUCUACAAUGAGUUUGAUCAUCGCAUUAGCCUAUAAACCAUGCAAGUGAGGUUCAUAGAUCUUAACCAAAAACCUUAAAACAUCAGAUAUAUGGGUCAUCUUAUUUAUAUGUUGUUUAAAUUAUACUCUUCCAUCAUAUAUAGAAUUUAACCCACAUUUCACACAUUAACAUCUCUUAAUCAAGUAUACAACUCUUUGCGUCUAUAACUAUGUGACAUAGUCAAAGAAAAGGUUAAACAUAAGCACAUGUUCAUAAAGGUUGGUUGGUGGUGAUUUUCUGAAGGAAGAUUUAUGUUCAUUUCUUUCAUGAGAAGAGAUAAAGGAAUUUAGAAUGAAAAAAUGAAUUUGAACAUGAGAGAAAAUAAGAGUAAAAAAUAAUUAUUGUGUAUUUUCUGUGAGAGCAUACAAAAUAGUGUGAAUUUUAUGUAAUUUUAUGGGUUUGUUGAUGGAGUUGGAGGUUUUAUAGUGAUUAUUUUAAAACAAAAAAAAAAAAUUAAACUCGGUUAAAAAAGCAUCACAUAAUUUUAAAUGUCUAUCAAGUAUGUAAUUUGUCAACUCUUGCAUCGGAUGCGGAACUUUCACCCACACUUGACCAUUUAACAUCUCUACAUUAAGUAUAACACUCUCCGCACUGUGAUCUACCACCAGGAAACACUCUCACUUGCCCACAAAGUUGAAUCUAAAUAUGAUACUACCGUUGGACUUUUUGAGGGAUCAGACACUUUUGUGGAUAAACCCAUUGGAGAGAGCAAUCACACAAGUGAGGGCAUUAAGUGUGAGGGUUUCUCACUUAUAUGUUGUUAAAUUUCACCACUUCUAUUCAACGUUGGAUUGUAACCGACAUUUGAUACAUCACAACAUUCUCUCUUUUAAGUAUGGGGAAAUUAAGAAAACAUGCUUUAGCAUCCACGCCUACAGGUGUUCACGGGAUGGGUCAGUUUUCAUUGUAAUAUAUAUUACCCGAUGCAAUCAAGUAUCAUUAGGUUGGAUCAAUAAAUAAUUACACGUAACUUUUUAAAGGGGUUAAUUAUAUGGAAAACAUUGUCGGCUUAUGUUAGAUUGAAGGGGUGAAUUGUAUUGAAUGUUGCAGCCAGCGGUAUAACGGCUCUUCUAUUAUCAUGUGGAAGAACCGCACACUUGAUGUUGACAGUCCCUAUCGAGAUUAAUGAGGCAUCAUCGCUUACGAUGAAAAAGGAUAGUCGUAGGGCAGACCUGGUGCGUGCUGCAAAGUUGAUAAUUUGGAAUGAGGCUCUAAUGAUGCACCAAUGGUGUUUUGAGGCAGUUGACUCAUCAAUGCAUAUAUUGCUUGUUGUCCGAAAAGGAACGAGGCAGGAUAUUGUUGAUGCCUCAAUCAAUUCAUCAAAGAUAUGAGCUUAUUGUAAUGUGUUAAGGCUUAUUGUUAAUAUGAGAUUGGGUGCAUCUUCGAUACCUGUAGAGCAGGAAGAAAUUGCUAAUUUUUGCAAGUGGAUACUCUCAAUUGGAGACGGCAACGACGCUUCAGAUGAGAAUGGUAAAAUGAAGGUAGAAAUUCCUGAAUAUUCGCUCAUAUUGGACACAACAAAUCCGUUGAUGUCACUUAUAGACUUUGUGUAUCCCGAUUUGAAUGAUAACCUUGGUGACCCGCUAUUUUUCCAAGAAAGGGGAAUACUCGCUCCAACGCUUGAUUCAAUUGAGCAUGUUAACGAAUAUAUGAUGUCACUGAUUCCAGGUGAAGAGAAAGAGUAUUUAAGCUAUGAUUUUGUUUGUCGAUCGGGUGAAAAUUUUGAUGUCCAAAGUGAGUGGUUCACAACGGAAUUUCUUAAUGGUAUUAAGAGCUCUGGAAUUCCAAAUCACCGGUUGAAACUAAGGGUGGGAUGUCCAGUUAUGCUGAUGAGAAACAUCGAUCAGGUCAAUGGACUGUGUAAUGGUACGAGGCUAACAGUUACACAUCUAGGGAAGACCACGAUUGCUGCUAACGUAAUUACAUGAAAAAGGGAAAGUACCAGGGUGUUCAUUCCUUGGAUGAAUCUUAUUCUGAGUGAUCCAGGACUACCCUUCAAAUUCAGGCGCAUGCAAUUUCCAUUGACGUUUUGUUUUGCAAUGACGAUAAAUAAAAGUCAGGGUCAAUCUUUAUCUCGAGUGGGAGUUUAUCUUCCUAAGCCCGUGUUCACGCAUGGACAACUCUAUGUCAUUGUCUCUCGAGUUACUUCUAGAAAAGGUUUGAAGCUGCUCAUCUUGGAUGAAUAUAAUAAUGUUUGCAAGGAGACCACAUAUGUUGUGUGUCGUGAAGUUUUUCAAAAAGUAUGAUCAUUGGUUAUGUUUUAGAAUUGUUGUUGCUAUAAUUUAGAAAACUAAAGUUGUGCAUUGUUUGGAAGUCAUUUUUUUAAUUUCUUUGUAAGGCGUACUGGUCAUUACAGGACAUGCAAUUUCUAUAUAAGCAGAUCCUCCUGCCAUUGACUUUUAAAUGAUGCACUUUUCAGGUAUAACAAUACGCGAAACUAUUUUUUUUUUACAUCGUUGUUAACCUAAAAUACAAUAUUUGCAUUAGACCAUUGAUUUUGUAAUAAAACAAAUAACAAUCGGCGUUUCAGUAGCCCAAACUUAUACACACCCGUAAAAAAUUUAACGUUUGCAUUCACAAAUUAGGUGUAUACAUCUUGUGCUCGUGAUUUUCGGAUAUCAAACCAUUAAUUGAUUUAAAUCGUCAAUCUUUGAACUCUCGAUUUUUAUUCGUGGGAAGGGAAAAAAUGAGUAAAAACCCUUAUCGAGACUUUGGAUUCGGGGGUUGGUUACAUGAAGGGAAGGUGCUAGCACCCUAAGCGUCUACGGUAUUCCGUAGGAACCUCUUACCUAAUUUACCUUGUGCUAAAUUGAUUUGCUUAUUUGAAAAUUAUUACCUAAAAGUCUAAGUGAAAGAAUGGAGGGAGAAGAAGUAUGUUUUUGGUUAUUUUUAUUUGAAUUGGAAGGAUAAAAAUCCUAUGCCUACAUACCCUUAAAGAAAAGGGAUCAAAACCAAUGUAGUUCACCUAAAAAGUUUCUUUUUGGUGGGUUAGGUUGAUUUUAAGAUUUUUUUGAAAAUGAGUUUUUAGAAGAGAAAGAGGCCUCAAGGCAUGAGAUAAAAUAAGGUGAGGUUGGUCAAAUUUUAAUUACAAAGAAAUCAAGUCUAUUAUGAAUAUUAAUUCAAUUAAGCAUUUGAUUAAGAAAAUAAAAAGGAAAACACUUGGGUUACAAACCAAGGUUUAUUAAGAAAAUACUUUUGGAGUUUUGCAUAUUUGAUUUUUUUUGAAAAAAAUAUAUUUUUUAAACUAACAGUAAAACUAGCAUAACGGCAUAACGUCACAAGAAGUAAACGUGAAGUGUCGGUGCAUGUGUCGGUGCGUUGUGUUAUUACAUAUCAAUUCCUAGAUACAUUCUAUGGUCUCAAGAGAAAUAUAAUAGAAGAAAUAAAACGCGCAAAAUAAAUUACAUCAAUUUCCUAAUUAUACACGCUAAAUAAUACCAAUAAAAUAAAAUGACAAAGUUAAACAUGCAUGAGAUGAUUCAAAUAUACUAUAUCAAUAAUAUAAUGAAAAUAAAAUAACAAAACAGUAAAUAGACAAUCAACACAAAGCAAAAUAUUUUUGUAAACUUUUGGAGUAAUUUUUUUUGUAAGUGAAGGAGGUGCAGAAAGUAAAAACAAAGGUGUAAAAAGGAAAACAGUAGUGAAAUUUAAAAACAAUUGGGCUCAGACUGGAUAGAUAUGGACCGUCUGAUGAAUCCGAAGGUCUAGAUCUAAUCACAGGAAGUCUCAUCACAGCCACUGGAUCAGUGAUCCAACGGUUUAAAAAAAAACAGCACAAAAGCAUAGAAAUAACACAGGAGGCACAGUGACCAUCUGAUCAUGGAACUAUCCAGAUCCAACUGCUAGAAACAACAAGGCACAUGGAAUGGGAUAAGAGAAAUAACAUGGGAAAAUAAAAGGAAUAGAGACUAUAAAACGUAAAACAACAGCAUAUUACUCAUUUGGUUUCUUCUCUUCUCUUUCUAAACACAAAUGCUUCCUUCUCUCUACACUCAAAAACAACACCGCCCCCUUAUAUCAUCUUCUCCGGCGAGACAGUGUUUUCCGGCGCGAUGGCCGGUGGUGGCACCACCGCGCCGGAGUUUCAAACUCCUCUAAAUCAAAAAAGUUUUUACGUUUUUAAACAUCCUUUUCUUCAUACUUUUCGAAAAUCUACUUAGUUUUCACAAACAAACAACCAAAACUUCUAGAUCUAAACUUUAAAGAUCGGUUUCAAACUUUUUCCAUCUCUCAACCGUUUUCCAAAAAAAGAAACUCACAUCUCAUACAGAUUUAGGAAGUAAAAUGCAAAGGAGAAGAAAGAACAAAGUGAUACUGGUUACCUCUUUAGAUCGGUUACGAUCUUGGAGGUUAUACUUCUGAGAAAAAUAAAAAAACGUUCUUCCUUGCUCAAAACGGUUCGGAUUUAUUUCGAUUCACGCUCCAUUUUGAUCCGAUUCACGCUCCAAUCUCCUUCUCCAAUUCCGGUUGAAUUAUGGCUUGAAUGUGUUGGAUUUACGGUUCCGUCGAUUUGGUUGUGUUGUUAAUUUGGAAUCUUUUGUAUUUUUUGUGGUGAAAUCAUGAUGCUGGAAUUUUAGUGUUCAUAGUGUUCUUGAGAAACUAGAUGAUUUUUUGUGUCUGAUUUUAGAAAUCGGAGAGAGAAAUGAAAUUAGGGUUGGGGUGUUGACUGCUGCGGCUGAAGAAGUCUCUGUGUAAGUUUGUGCGGCUAGGGUUUGCUCAUCCUCCUUCUCUUUUUUUGCAGGUUUUAAUUUAUACCACUAGGGUUGAAGGGAAAAAGGAAACAACAUACUGGAUUUGGAAACAAAAGUUUGACAAUCUGCCUGAAUAUGAGGCGUGUAAAAAAUAUUUUUUGGACCCCUGCUGAGAUUUUUCUGACUCAUUGACAUUAUAGCACAAAACAAAAAUAAACUAUUAAAUAUAUAAAAAGAGUAACUAAUUUUAAAAUUAAAACUAAUAAAAGAUGGAAAUUAAACACUGAAAUAAAAAGAAAAUAAAGAGGAAAGAGGGCCCGGCUCGGAAUACUUCUCUGCCGAAAUUUCGUCUGAAACGACGAAAAUUCCCGACUUUAAAAAUAUGAAUAAAAUGGGUAAGAAUAGAGAAAAGUGGUCAAAAUUUGGGGUAUGACACAUCUGAAGUUGACUAUUAUAUAAAAAAAAAUACAAUUUUUUUUGUUUUUAUGAUUAAUAAAAUACAUUAUAUCAACAAAUAAUAAUAUACAGUACUUCGGCGUAUUUUUGCAAAAAUAUUACAUAUGUUAAGUUUAACAAUGAGUACAUCUUAUAGUACAAAUAAUUAGUAUAAGUAUAAAUCCAAUACUUUAAUCGUUAUGUGCAAUGUUUAGAUAUUUCAAAAUAUAUACAAAAUUAACAAGAUGAUAUUUUUUUCCAUAUCAAAUUUAAAUUAUAACCACAGUUAUAACUUUAAGAUAACAUAAUAUAAAAUAUAUUAAAAAGUGUUUUAUUUCCGUGUUUGGCACGGGUCACUAUACUAGCAUCAAGUGAAACUUGACCCAUGUAUAAUGUGUUAUCCACUUCUUAUUAUUAUUAUUAUUAUUUUUUUUUAGAAAUGCUAUGGACAAACUCUCAAGCACACUCUUUUGAACACACCCUCAAUCAUUGGUCCACAUCACCCCUUUUUUAAAAUCACUUAACUGGAUACUAGCUUAGCCUAUAAGUAAAACAAGGUUAAUCGUUCUUUACCCCCUGUAAUAUAGGUCAUUUUUUGUUUUCCCCCUUGUAAAAUAAUUUUUUUGAUUUACCCCCCUAUAAUUUUUUUUUAAAAAAAAUAUUAUACAGGAGGUAAAUAAAAAAAAAUAUUUUACAGGGGAAAACAAAAAAUGACCUAUAUUACAGGGGGUAAAACACCAUUAACCCAUAAAACAAGAGAAUUGCUGUUCCCACAUUACAUAAGGCUGUGCCACACGAAUAAAUGACGUUUUUGCUCCUGCGGUAGUUAACUACUGAAGUUUGGAACCGGCUGCAGUUAACUACCGAAGUUUCUUCGGCAGUUAACUGCCGACGAAAAACGAUAAAAAAAAAAAAAAAAAACCUCGGCACUUAAGUGCCGAAGAACUCAUAAUAUUUUUUUUUUCAAGAUUCUCUUAGCAUAAGUGAAAGAUAAAAAGUUUAUUAUUUGGCCCAUGCUUGCUGAAUGCAGACAAAUCUUUAUAUAUAUGAUAUUUUAAUUUCUUUGCUUGUUUUUGAUGAUAGACCCUACUUUCUUUGUCAUUCAUCAUAUACGUGCUAUUUAUUUGGACAUAAAUUAUCUUUAUUUGUUUACGAGUUUUUUUCAUUAAUUAUGGUGUAUGCAGGAAGCUGGAGUUCAUGUAAUAUGUACCUUGAUAAAAAAAAAAAAAAUUUAUGAGUUCUUCGGCACUUAAGUGUCGAGGUUUUUUUUUUUUUUUUUUUUUUCGUUUUUUCGUCGGCAGUUAACUGUCGAAGGAAGGAAUUUCGGUAGUUAACUGCCGCCAGUUCCAAACUUCGGUAGUUAACUACCGCAGGGGCAAAAACGUCAUUUACACGUGUGGCAUAGCCUUAUGUGAUGUGGGAACAACAAUUCUCAUAAAACAAACUGUUCUAAUAAACUUCAUCCUUUCCCAACCCACCGUCAAUGACCUUCUUUGUUCCGAAUUUCCACCUAACCAUUAACACCUCUUGAAUAUCAAUUUUUGAUCAAUUUCAUUCAGUUUUCCUGAGAGGUUGAAAGGUACCACUGAUGUUCUUUUUGAGCGAUGACAAAGUGUUCGAAAUAAUUUAAAUCUUCAAUUACUCGUGAUGCUUGUCAAAUACAGGAAUUCAUGAGAAUAGCACAUAACCUAUUUUAUUUAACUAGGCAAAACAUUUAACCAUCGACUCUAUGACAUAACCAUAAAUUGAAUAGUGUCUUGUGGGUCUAUGGGUAAAGAGAAAUCGUGUUGUGAAGAUAAGCAUUUUUUUUUUUUUUGGUCAAGUAGCCUAGAAGAUAAGCAUUUUAGUGUGUUGCUUUUGUAAUACAUACAAGUGCUUCUGGUUCAGCUUUGUUUUUUCUACUAUUGAUUUGGUGUCGACUUCUUAUUUGUUCUCCAUGUCCUUUUACAAGUAGUUCUAGGCUUCUAGCAUCCAAAAAAACCAUGUUUCCUUCCUUUUUUUUGAAGAAACAAAAAUGGUAUAUAUUAACAAAGGCGGUAAAACCUCCUAAGUACAAGAUGUACUAAGAAGUCACCCCUCAAAGAGUCAAACAAAUGUAGUAAUUACAAUAAACCGGGUGCGUCGAUACCUAAACAAAGCAUAGGAUCCGACCACCACCUUUGAGAACCGUACACAAAUGUGGCUUUACUAGCUUUUAGCCACCAUAAAGAGUGUAAUUUUACUUUUUCUGAUAAGCCUUCAAUGGAUGUUUGGGUAUUAUUAAAAAGUCUGUUGUUGCGUUCAUUCCAAACCAUCCACACACAAAGUAACCAAAUGAGCUGCAGAAAGGAUCUACGCGCCCUCGUAUGACCCGUACUAGUAAUAAACUGAAUAAAGUGGUCACUAAGAUCAUGGGAAUCAGCUUCGGACACGCCAAUCCACGUUUCAACUAUACGUUUCAACAUCAGAAGAAUAAGAAGACCAAGUUUUAGUCAAGAGUAGAUUAUUUAUCCUUUAGAUUGUACAAUGCAUGUUCAAUCUCUGUGGUUGUGAAUUUUUAAUGAUUUUAAGAACAAUCUUAAGUACUAAGUUAAAAGUUAGGCUCAUCACUAAAUGUUACAGCAAAAACAGGACUUUCCAUCUAUAUAAUUUCUUUCCAUUAUAAAAUAUAUAUUUUGAUAAUCCAAACCUAUACUUCACAUGUUAUUGUUGGUGCUCCCCAAGUAUACCUGUCCGUAAUUGUCGGUUAAUGUCAUCAAAUUGGUCUUAAGUAGACGAAAUUGAUUGCAUUGCUCGACAUAUAUGUGUCAAUCUGAUGUAACCUAUAAUGGUGUGGUCUAACGUGAUCGUGCUAAACUUUUGUCGACUAGAAUGCAUGUUCACUCUGCUUAAUAUAUUGACAUCUUCAUUCACACUUGUGUUAUAUCAAUCUUUGCUUUUAGUCUCAGUAUAUUUUUGUUUUGCAUUUAGUCCUUUUUUGGCUUUAAUCUUUCAAAUAUUUGUCUAAUGUUUGGUAGGGAGCUUCUAUGAUGAACUCAGGAAAAUGACUUCUUCGGUGAAGUCGUUUGAAUGGGCCAAUCAGAUUUUAAAUGAUGACACGUCAAAAACCCUAAUCAUGUUCCAGUGUAGUGCGGUCUACGGUAGCGUAAGUGAAGGAAAACUUUAUUUUAUGAUUUUAAUGGUUAGAUUUACUUGAUCUCUAUGUUAUUGUGGUACACCAUCUACACAUGAUUUUUCUUCUAGUACCAAUUUUCUCUCCUCUUUAUUUUUCUUUCUUUAUUUAUUCAUAUUCUCUCUCUUCCAGAUUUUUAUUAAAUCAACAUCUUCAUCUUUCCUUCAUCUUCUUCGUAUCAUAUCUUCAUCAACUUAUUCAUCAUCUUCAUGAGAGAAAAAAUAAAAAAAACCCAAAAAAAAAAAAAAAAAAUGAAAUUACAUAAUAAAAAAAAAUGUAGAUAUAACAUGCUUAUAUAUAUUAUAUAUAAUAUAUUUCGAUUUUAGACAUUAAAAGAUAGAUGAUAUGGUGGUUACAAUUUUGAUUUUGCACACCUACUUCCCUCUCAAAGCUCAGACCUCCCUCCCAUUCAACACUUCUUUUUGAAUUAAAUUAAAAAUAAAAUACUUUAUACUCAAUAUCUUAAAUUGUUUUAAAUUUUGCAUAAUUUUUUUUAGAAUAUUAUAGGUUGCACACAAUAUUAUGGAAACUUAUUUAUCUUAUACAAUUUUAAAAAAUGUUUAUAAUUAAUAAAAUAUAUUUAAUCACUGUCUAAAAAAUUAUAUUUAAAUAAAACAUAUGAUAAUAAUUAUCUUAUAUUAAAGAUAUGAAUAAUAUUUAUCUUUUUUUUCCAUGAUUCAACCACAUACAAUUAAUGCCUAAAAAAAUGUCAAUCUCUUACUCUCCAAAUUAACUUGUCAUUAUUUAAUAUAAAAUCUUUUUUUCAAGAAAAAGACUUCCUUUUAAAAAUUUAAAAGUGUAUAAUAUAUAAAAAAAACUUAUGCAUUAAAGUAAAUUUUUGUGUGAUGUUUUUGAUUUUUUUUUUUUUUUUCUGAAACGUAAGAUGUUUUCGAUAUCGUUAUUAACGCAAAUUUCCGAGCUAAUUAGCCAUUUUCGAUACUGUUUUUAAAUAAAUUUUCGAUGCCAAUAUUUCUUCUUUAAAAAAAUAUAAUAAUUUUUAUUCUGCAAUCACACUUAAUACGUAUUUAAUGCUAGCUGUAUAAAUUGAAUCACACUUAAUACGUUUUUAAUGCUUUUUUUUUAAGAAGAAACGGAAAUGCUAGUUUUUUUUAGGGCGUUUUAAUGGUAAUUAUUACUUAUUAGUACGUUUUUAAUGUUAACAUUUUCCUAUUAAGCCAAAAAAAUAAGUUAGAGUACCUAAGGUUCAAUUAAGCCUAAAAACUAUUAAGACGAAAAUGAUGAUUAUAUAAAUUGUUUUAAAUUAAAAUUGAAAAAAUGGAUUGGGUUAAAGUCACCAUGUUUACGAUAAUUAUAUUUUUCCUCUCAAUUCACGUCGUUGAUACUUUAACCAAUAUUGUUGCCCCAUAAACGAGUACUCGCUGAACCAAUAACAUGAUGGACAUACUAAUUUUCAGCCUGACCACAUCACUUCUUUUGUGCAUCUAUCAUAGAGAUUUGUCGUCUCAAUUUGAUAAAAAAAAUUACUUUUUAAUUGCUGGAAAUUAACUAAAAGCAUAGCUGCUCUUGAUUCAAUCUGUAUAAUUCUGCAACUAAUCCACUGAGAGUAUAUAUUGUCGCAUAGCAGCCGCAAUUAACACUCUACUUGUCCAUCAAGAGUUGGAUUUAAAUUAGGGUAAUUGACUUUUGUGUUGAUUAGAAAAUGGAGAUGAAGAAAAUAUUGAGAUUCAUGUUAUUUGGAGAUGUAUUUGAGUAGUUAUUUUGUUUUUUGUUCAAUAAAGAAGAUGAUGAAGGUAUGAAGAUGGCGAUGAUGUUCAUAAUCUUCCUUGGUUUAUUUAUUUUUAAUAAUGAAAUAUUUUUUUAUAAAAAGGUUUAUUUAAAUAUUUUUUGAAAUAGAAGGAAGAAAAAAUCAAAAAGGAGAUUAUGAACACAAUAACACUAGUGAAUUGCUUAAUCUGAUAGUUCAAAAAAGCUAGUCUACGGUGGUACAUAUUGAGCAGAUACACGGUAUAUACCAUACAACAGUCAACACACAUGACAUCAUUCAACAAUGUGGCGCAUUAUUAUUGGAUGUAGGAUAACUUCUCUGAAAAAGUCAAUUUAAUGACUUCACCAUAGAAUUUUCCAUGUUUGGAAUUAGACCUUAUAUACUCCAUAUAAUUUAGGUACUAAGAUCAAUAAGGUCUACAUAUUACAAGACUUUAAUCAACAAGAACUAAAAUUAAAAUAACAAGGACCAAACACAAAAUUGUGUACGAAUCACGGACUAGAAAAACAAAUUACAAGGACUAAAGGUGAAAUUGAAAUAUUUAAGGAUAUCUAUCCCUAUCACGAUAUUUAAAUACCUUCUUGAUAUUUCAGUUAAUACAUUUCUUUAUCCUUUAUAGCUAAUGAUAUUCUACCACUUUUUUUUGCACUUGAUACAAGUUAUGCGAGUCUGUUUUGUCCACUUUCUCCAUCCCUCUCUAUCAAAAUGAUAUAAAAGGAAGGCGAGCUUGCUUCUUAUUAUCGUGUUCGAUCUCACCACGAUCAUCAAUCGACUCCACACACAGUAAUAAAACCUUUUUCAACUUUGAUAACUACUUAUAUGUUUAUUCAGUUAUGCGAUUCUAACCAACCAGUUUUGUUCUAGGUGAUUCUGUAAUAAACUAUUCCACCUGAUACUCAAUGGACAUCACCAAACCAUAGGUGGUUGCACCUUAUGGUGCUUGUGAUGAGUGACCUAACCUUAUUGUAAUGUACAUUAUAACCUUCUCGUGUUGCAAAUAGAUGGAGAUUCACCUUCUUCGAUGAUGGUGUCUUUAUGCCUUAAUUUCAGUGCUAACGGGCGUCUAUCAUGCAGAACUUAGUGUACAGGGUUUGAUAUCUAUUAUGUACCUUGAGGAAAGGUUCACUUGUUGUGAUAUAUAUUGUGAAGCCAUGUUGAAUGUUUGUAAAUUAGAAGAUGCCCAGGUUGGCAAAUUAGAAGAAAAAUGUGUCAUCACUUGUGGCAACUUCAGACCCUUUUUCCUCAAUUCUCUUGUUUUUUUUAACCACUUUUGUUAUGCCUUGUCUUCAAGUUCCAACAUAACAGCAAACAACUUUUUACUGCCAUGAAUUUAUAUGAAGUUCAAGUUGUUGUGAGUUGUGACAUUUGUAAUGUUGACAUAAUGAAACAUAUGGUAUCAAAUAUCAAUGAAAUCUUUGUUAUGAUUCUGAUAUGUCAUUCAUUAGAUACAUAGAAAUUAUUUUUACCAGAGGUAAACCUACUCAUUGUUCAUGUGCUUACGAAAAUAUUUGGUAUUAAGUAGCUUUGAUGCAAUCAAAACAAAUAAAUUGGAGGCAUAAAUUUAUAAGAACUAGAUACUUGUAAUGUUGCUCAUUGGUAUUAACUAGAUACUAACCCGAGUGCUGCUAACUAUGAAGGCACAAAUUUCAAAAUUACUUGGAUAUUCUCAUGUGUGUUUUCAUAUUCCAGGUUUACUUGGAUGAACAAAUUUGAUUAGGUGUCAAUGAACAAAAUUGGGAGGUUGUUUUAAUUGAUCAUUAUAAAAAGAUAAAUUAUAAAGCAGAUUUCAUUCACCUCCUCUAAAGUUUUAUUAAAUGAAACCUAAUCCGGUUGAACCUAAGAGGAUGGUUGAGCUACUUGGAUCCGUCGUCUGUUGGGGUUGAUCCACCGGUUUGUUCGCCGUCUGUCUGGUUCAGUUGAGUUGUGGAGAUGUGAUGGUUUUGGUGAGGUUGAUCGUCAGCCUCCAGUGAGAGGAAAAGGGUUGUGUACAAACAUACACUCCGGCGCCCAAGUCAGUUAGGAGUUUAAGAGGAAAGAUCACAAGUUUAGGGUAAGAAGUGUCAUACCUGUCCCAAGGCUAAAGCGUAGGUAUAAAGAGGGGCUAAGUAGGGUUUGACUGGAAAACCUUAUCUUGACAAUCGUACUUGUUGGUAUAGACAUGGGUAAUCCUUGGCCCUGGAUAGCUGUUUGGCCUCUGUGGUUGUGGUUAACCCCUUGACCUCAUGUGUAACCCUCGGCCCGCACCGUAAUCUGGUGGUUUUUAGGGCGUGUCCAUCAUAUGGUGUCGCCUGCUUAAUGGACUCGAGUCAGACCCGAGUAGAGCCGGAUUGAGCUUUAGGCUAGUCCGGAACAAAACCCACUCCCCCUUUAGUUUGAAAAAACAUUCACAUCCCUUAUUUGCUCCAUGAUUAAUGCACUUUUCCCCUUUUAACAUUAAAAGUAAUAGCCAAUUUAAUAUUUAUAUAUGAAACUCUAUCAAACUCGUGCAUUGUACGGGUUAGAGUCUAGUUAAAUUGAAUUGGUAGUCAGUUUUCGAUAAACAAGAAAUCAUACAUUGUGUGAUUUAGAUCAAUGAGAAGACAAAUGGUUCCAUCGUUGUUCUUUUAAACUUUGUUCUAAAGAUGAUGGAGCAUAAAAAAUGUGGGUGCACCAUAAAGGAAAACUCAUGUAAGGGAAAUCAUUGGAUUAAUCGAAACAGACAAUUAAGAUUUGAUGUAAAACUAAAGUUAAUAUAUGGUGUCAACAAAUUCUAUUAAGUUUUCGUAUAUACACACUUAAAAUAUGCAUAAAAUAUGCAAGGUUCGAGGUUCGAACCCCGUACACCACCAAAAAAAAUAUACACACUUAAAAAGUCGUGAUUAAUUAUAUUUUGUACUCCUUUCGUCUCACAAUAAUAGUCUCUUUACCAUUUUUUUCUUUUUCUCAAAAUAAUUGUCACUUUAGAAUAUCAAUGCAGCAUUUAUUAUUAUUUUUUCCACUAUUAUACCCUUAUUUAUUGAAUUUCAUCCAACUUAACUACUCUACUAACUAUAAUUAAUAAGAAUAUUUUUGUAAAUGAUAUCAAUUUUACCAUUGAAAUCAAUACAAUUAAUCAUUUCCUUAAUAAUCGUGCACAAACCUUAAACGAUUAUAAUUUUGAGACGGAUGGAGUAAAAGAAAAUUUGAGGAAUGGAGUAAAUGAGUAAUGAAUUUUGAUAUCUUAUUAUAUUCAUUAAUCAUCUUCUAAAAAUACUCUUGAUAUCUUAUUAUAUUCAUUAAUCAUCUUCUAAAAAUACUCCCUUAAUUGUUAUUUAAUUGUAUUUGAAAGUUCAAUGAAACAUCGAUUAUUGAUUAGUUAACAUUUUCUAUGUUUGCUAAAAAUAAAUCGACAAUGUCACUUAAUGAAAAAUAGAUAUUAAAAAGAAAAGUACUCUCUCCGUUUCAAAAUGAGUGUCGUUUUAGAUGUUUACACACAUAUUAAGAAAUGCAGUGAUUAAGAGAAUGAGAAUGGUUAUUUUACCAAAUUAUCUUUAUUAACUAUUGGUUAGUUUUAAAAGUAAUACUUUGGAAGUAGUGUGCAGAGUAUUAAUUGGAGGGUACAAUUGAAAAGAAAAAGUUAUUAUCACAUUGGAAACUGAAAGUGACACUCAUUUUGAAACAAUUUUUUUGGCUAAAGCGACACUCAUUUUGAAACGAAGGGAGUAGUGUUAACUUGUGCUUUAAGGCACAUGUUAAGAAAUCCAAAAAAGAAAUAUUCCCUUAAACUUUGUGCAUUCAAUUCAUUAAAAAUUAAGUUUAAUAUACGCAUUCCAAUACAUUAUUUCUAUAUGUGGCUUCUAAACUUGUACCUUAAGGGCACAAGUUAACAUUUCCCUAAAAAAAAUUAGAUUAAUACCUCAAAUUCGUCCUUGAAUUUUCAAAAAUCGGCCAAAUUCAUCCCUGAAUUUUGGAAAAUAUCUAUUUAGUCCCUGAAUUUUACAAACGUCAAUCAAAAUGGUCACUCCGUCCAAAAGCUCCGUUAGUGGUGAUGAUGUGUCAUCUUGCAUGUUGUGUUGUCCUGUACACGUGUCAACAAGGCAGCCAUGUGUACAAGGACUAAAUUGAUGGAAAUGGUAAAAAUUCGAGAUUUAACUUUUCAGUGUAAUUUUUCCUGUCUUUUCAAUUAUACCCCUCUAUUACCUAUGUUGUCCUGGAUCGAUUUGAGACUUACUGUCAUAUUUUGAGGAUUAAUUUGAUGGAUUUUGUUAUAAUUUAAGGGCUCAUAUGAUUGAUUUUAUUUGCAGAGAAUGAGUACAAGGAGAUAUGGCAUCAGAGGACUAGUGAUUUCAAAUAACAUGCAUAAACAAACACCACUGAGGGAUCCUGCUCCACAAAAUCCAACUGCUCCUGGAGUUGUUAGAGUUCCAAAUCCAAAUUACAGGACAUCUGCUUCUACUCAAUCCCAAUACAUGGAGUUUAUCCCAACUCCAGGAUUUCCAAAGCAUUGAUGCAUGUUUAAAUUAUGUUUUUGCACUAGUUUAAUUAAUGUUUUUUGGACUUGUUUAGUUUAUGCUUUUUUGGAUAUGUAAUCACUUAAGAACAUCAAAUCAUUUGAUGACUUGAUGGCUAUGUAAUGUUAUUUUUUUGGCUAUGUAAUCACUUAUGAACAUCAAAUAUAUGACUUAUGAUGGUAUGCAAAUAUCUGUCUUUUUAUAAUCAAAGUGUCUGUCUUCUACUUUUUACUUUGUUCAACAAAUGUAUCCACCAAGGAUCAUAGUGAUGUAUGUUGUGAAAAUUCAAGGACCUAUUUGAUGGUAUUUUCACCAAUUUUAGGAUCGAUAUGAUGGAUAUGUAUAUAAUUCAAGGACCAGUUUGAUUGAAAUUUUUUGACAGAAAGGUUUGAUUCAUUCGUUGACAACCUCUUUUCAUAACAACAUUACAUGGACUUGGCAUAAUACAAUAGCAUUUUAAACAAUUCAAUCAAACAAAAUACUCAUAUCAAUAUCUUAAUCAACUUAAGCUCACUUCCUACACAAUCAACUUUAUCCAUCAACCUUGCCCUCCAAACCUCUUCUCUCCCCCUAUCAUUUGGCUUCUCCAUCAACCUUGCAUUUCUUCCAUGACCAACACCAUUGUUUUUAAAAUAACCUAGUUCUUCAGCUUCAUCAACCUACACAAAAAAUCUACAAUUUUCACAAAUAUAUUAUACAAUCAAAAGACAAAAUCAGUACUAUUUAAACAAAUCAUUCACACAUCACAUAACCAUUGUUGACAGUGUUGGCUUUUCUGACAACACAAAUUCUAGGACACCAACAUUGAAGCUCUCUCACCUCAUCAUUGUACAUAGAGCUUGAAGAUGAAGAUCGACUGUUGUAGUUGUUUUUGCCCAUACGUCCACCACCCAUCAUUUAUGAACACCGAAUCUUGAACAAUGACCACUAAUUUUUGAAUUUCAAAUUGAAUCAAAAAAAUUAGGGUUAGGGUUUUAAGUUUUUUGAAUUGGGGAAGAACCCAUCAUUUAUGGAAGAAAUUUUGGGGAUUUUGAACUCUAGGUGACAAAUUAUAACAUUAGGGUUCCAAAUUUAUAUAUUUGGGGAAGAAAGAGUUGUUAAUGAGGAAUAGGAGAAAGAGGCGUUGACAAUUUUCUGAAAAUCCAUCAAUUUGGUCCUUGACAAUUUUCAGUAAACUAAUUAAUUUGGUCCCUGCUUGCGUGACAUCUAACGUGGUAAGUCUUUUAAGAGAUUAACGUUACACGUCACCUCCGUUAAUAUAUCAACUUAACGGAGAGACUGAUUUGAUUGACAUUUUGUAAAUUCAAGGACAAAAUAGCUAUUUCGGAAAAGAUGAUGACUCUAAUGGUGGCAUAUACUACUAUAACCCCACAAACAUAUGUGACACGUGGCCUUGUAGACCCCACAAACAUACACUCAGGAAGUUCCCCUUCACCGGCCUCACCCCUCAAAAAUCCCCACCCCCACCAUCGCCUUCUUCGGUCACACACCACCGUAACCCAUCGUCCACCUCGCCAUCGCGGUACCGGAUCUACUCAAAUCCGUCUCUCCUACCACGACCCUGCCGUCUUUCCAUCCUAACGUUUGACAUCCAGAUCCAGCUUUUUUUUUUUUUUUUUUAGAGAAAUAAAUGCCACCUAGAUGUGUUGCUUCUCACUGUUGUUACUACUGUCACUGCCCACAGAGAAGACUAAGCUGCUAAAUACCAAGUCGCCUCGCUCCCUUUUGCUGCACCUUCCUUCAACCUUCUCAGUUUUUUCUACCACCUAACAUAUUCAGUUCAUGCAUCAUAUCAUGACACAACCUUCUUUGUCUGGCUCUUCUAUCUUCACCUAUGAUGUUUUCAUCAGUUUUAGAGGCAUAGAUACCCGCAACAAUUUCACGCGCGACCUUUACGAUAUUCUUGAUCAAAACGGUAUUCACACUUUCUUUGAUGAACAAGAAAUUCAAAAAGGAGAAGAGAUCACACCAUCACUUCUUCAAGCUAUUCAACAAUCUAGAAUUUUCAUUGUUGUUUUCUCUAACAACUAUGCUUCCUCUACUUUUUGCUUGAAUGAACUUGUCAUGAUCCUUGACUGUUCCAACACACAUAGACGCUUGCUUUUGCCGGUUUUUUAUGACGUCGAUCCAUCACAAGUUCGCCACCAAAGCGGUGCUUAUGGUGAAGCUUUGAAAAAACAUGAAGAGAGGUUUAGUGAUGAUAAGGAUAAGGUGCAAAAAUGGAGGGAUUCUUUAUGUCAAGCUGCUAAUGUUUCUGGCUGGCAUUUCCAACAUGGGUAGAUUAUUUUAUAAUCUCAUACCAUACUUUUAUGCAUUUAUUUUAAUUACCAUGCUUUUGUUUGUCUAAUAGUUUCUGUGUAUAUGAUUUUACGAUGAAAAGAAAUCUCAGAUACAAUUCUAGAUGAAGGGAACAUAGCAAGUAAAUAGGCAUAUGAUUAUUUGAGCUUUAUGUGCACAAAUUAGCCAUAUAAUAUGUCAAGUUCUUCACAAGUUCACUUGUACUUCACCAAUUGAUUUCUGAGUAAUGGUUGGUAAGGGACUAAUUUGACUGAUAUUUGAGACUUUUUAAGAACCAAAUUGAUAUAUUUUAUUUCUUUGGAACCAAAUAUGUCUCUUUGUUUUUUCUCAAUGACCAGUUUAGACCUUUACUUAAUAAAAGAUGAAUUUGUGAAACCAAAAAAACAGAUUUCUGAUAAGUUGACACAUUAUGUGACUAACCAAAGUAACAAAACUUGCAUUGCAACUUCUAAAGACCUAAUUGUAUUUUACCUAUAAUUAAUUUCGACUAAGAUGAAGCACUAAGAAUCGAUUCAGUGCUGCUGUUUCAAAUCAUGCAUACUUCUGUGAUGUGUAGGUCACAAUCAGAAUACCAAUUUAUUGGUAAUAUCGUCGAGGAAGUCACUAAGAAGAUCAAUCGCACUCCUUUACAUGUUGCUGAUAACCCAGUUGCGCUAGAGUCUCCAGUGUUGGAAGUGGCAUCUCUUCUACGGAUCGGAUCUGAUGAGGGAGCCAACAUGGUUGGCAUUUAUGGAACCGGUGGUGUAGGAAAAUCAACAUUGGCUCGUGCUGUGUAUAAUAACCAAAUUUCUGAUCAAUUUGAUGGUGUGUGUUUUCUUGAUGAUAUAAGAGAAAAUGCAAUUAACCAUGGUCUUGUGCAACUCCAAGAAACACUGCUUUCUGAAAUACUUUGUGAGAAGGAUAUUAGAGUGGGUAAUGUUAGCAGAGGAAUUUCAAUCAUAAAAAGAAGGCUCCAAAGAAAAAAGGUACUUUUGGUUCUUGAUGAUGUUGACAAAGCGAAGCAGAUACAAGUACUUGCAGGUGGACAUUAUUGGUUUGGCUCCGGCAGCAAGAUCAUAAUCACUACAAGAGACAAACAUUUGUUGGCUAUUCAUGAGAUUCUGAAUUUAUAUGAGGUUAAACAGUUAAAUCAUGAAAAAUCUCUUGAAUUGUUUAAUUGGCAUGCCUUUAGAAACAGAAAAAUGGAUCCAUGUUACAAUGAUAUUUCAAACCGUGCAGUUUCUUAUGCUCAUGGCCUUCCAUUAGCUUUGGAGGUGAUAGGUUCUCAUUUGUUUGGCAAAAGAUUAGAUGUGUGGAAAUCUGCAUUAGAUAAAUAUGAAAGAAUUCUUCAUGAAGAUAUUCAUGAAGUUCUUAAAGUUAGCUAUGAUGAUUUGGAUAAAGAUGACAAGGGUAUUUUUCUUGACAUUGCUUGUUUCUACAAUUCUUAUGAAAUGGGCUAUGCCAAAGAAAUGUUAUACGUACAUGGUUUUAGUGCUGAAAAUGGCAUUCAAGUGCUGACCGACAAAUCCCUCAUAAAAAUUGAUGGCAAUGGUUGUGUUAGAAUGCAUGACUUAGUUCAAGACAUGGGCAGAGAAAUCGUGAGGCAGGAAUCAACUUUGGAGCCUGGCAAACGCAGUAGAUUAUGGUCUGAUGACGAUAUAAUUCAUGUUUUGGAAGAAAAUACGGUAUGUGCAAACCUCAGAACAUCAAUGUUGUUCUUCUGAUUGAUAACUACUAAAUUUCUAGAUUCUUAUUUUUCCAUUCUCAAUUACAAAUGCUUAAUGAAACUUAUUUUAAUAAGAAAAUGAUAUUAUUAUUUAGAAUUUGUAAUUUCUUGAAAUAUGUAGAUGAUGAUAUUCCUAAACUUUAUAUUCUGAUGAAAUAAUGAUUUGGAAUUGAAAGGGCACUGAUACAGUUGAAGUCAUAAUCAUCGACUUGUACAAUGACAAAGAAGUGCAAUGGAGUGGAACAGCCUUCGAGAAUAUGAAAAACCUUAAAAUUCUUAUAAUUAGAAGUGCACGCUUUUCUAGAGGUCCUAAAAAAUUACCAAAUAGUUUAGGAGUUUUAGACUGGAGUGGAUAUUCAUCACAAUCUUUGCCAGGUGAUUUCAAUCCUAAGAAGCUUAUGAUGCUUAGCCUACAUGAAAGUUGCCUUAUAUCGUUCAAAUCACUUAAGGUAUGUAUUUUUUUAACAUGUUUGAUUGGUCUUAAACUAUAAUGCUUGUUUCCAGUAAAAAUCGCAUAAUUUCAUUUCAUUGCUUUUAUGGUUUGUAGGUGUUUGAGUCCUUGAGCUUUCUGGAUUUUGAAGGAUGCAAGUUAUUAACUGAGCUACCUAGCUUAUCUGGACUAGUAAAUCUGGGGGCACUUUGUCUUGACGAUUGCACUAAUUUAAUCGCAGUUCAUAAGUCAGUUGGUUUUCUCAAUAAACUCGUGUUAUUGAGUACUCAAAGAUGCAACCAGCUAGAACUUUUGGUGCCCAACAUCAAUCUGCCAUCUCUAGAGACUCUAGAUAUGAGGGGUUGUUUGCGUCUCAAGAGCUUCCCUGAAGUAUUGGGAGUAAUGGAGAAUAUAAGAUAUGUUUAUUUAGACCAAACUUCCAUAGAUAAGUUGCCAUUUUCAAUUAGAAAUCUUGUUGGCCUCCGACAAUUGUUCUUGAGGGAAUGCGCGAGCCUAACUCAGCUACCGGAUAGUAUUCAUAUAUUGCCUAAACUUGAGAUAAUAACGGCUUAUGGUUGUAUAGGAUUUCGAUUGUUUGAGGAUAAAGAAAAAGUGGGUUCAAAAGUGUUUCCAAAAGCCAUGCUUGUUUAUAAAGAAGGAAGUCCGGUAUUGCUUGAUAUGUCCUCUCUUAACAUAUGCCCCGAUAAUGCCAUAGAAGUAUUUUGUUCUUCAUUUAUUCGUAUGAAUGCUGAUUUCAUCAGCAUAGGGAUUCUUGAAGGUAGAGGAAAUUGGUAUCAACAUGAAAGCAACGAAUCAUCCUUACAUUUUUGGUUUCAAAAUAAAUUCCCCAAGAUUGCUCUUUGUUGUGCUGUAAAACCUCCUGUGUGUAAAGGCAAUAUGUUGUUGGAUUUCAAUUUCAGUGUGCUCAUCAAUGGCACUAAGCAAUUCACUUCUUCAUGCAACUACAUGUUUUCUGCUGAAAAAAUAACUGAACAAGUUCUUAUGUGUGAUUUACAGUGCAAAGUGGAAAGAUUGUAUUUAGAGCAUGAAUGGAAUCAAGUAGAUAUUUUAUAUGAGUUUAAAUACCUUAUGCCAUGUGGCUCUAAAAGGAUAAUGGCUACCCAUGAUAGGACCACAACAAGAAAUCCAAGUUGGUCCUUCAUUUAUGCCUUUGAAGAUAACAAAGUGGGUGUCAAAUUUCUGUCGGAGUUUGAGGAACGGGAAGAGCAGUACAGAAGAAAUGAAGCAUAUUCUUGGUUUGAUUCAUUUUUUUUCGCAAGGUUUGUUUGAGAAUUUAGAAAUGGUUAAUUAAGUAAAUGAUCCUGUAAAUAUUAAGAAUUUUGUUUAGUCUAUAAAAAUAAAUUCGCAUUUUUUCGUCUCUGUAAAAUUUUCCGUCAGCAUUUUAAGUAUGUUAAAAGAAAAUAUUACAGAGGUUAAAAAGUGCAAUUUUGGUUGUAGGAACUAAAAAUGAAUUUAUGAAUAUUUAUAAAGACAUUUACUUGAUUAAUCCAUUGAAAAAUAACUGGAUUUUGACUUGCUUUAAUUAAUUUAUUUAUUUUUUGAAAAAAUUUGUAUAAGUAUUGAAAUCUACAGGAGCGCGCGCAUGUGUAUAUAUAUAUAUAUAUAUAUAUAUAUAUAUAUAUCAACGCGGAGGAAUUAUCAUAGAAAUUGCACCAAUAUAAAAUUUUAUACUUUUUUAGGGAUAAAAUUUUAUACUAGUACUUAACAAAUACUUUCUCCGUUUCAAAAUGAGUGUCGCUUUAACAAAAAUAAUUUGUUUUAAAAUGAAUGUCACUUUCAAUUUUCAAUGCAAUAAUAACUUUUUCUUUCCGAUUGUAUAAUCCAAUUAAUAUAAUGUAUAACAAUCAAAACAUUAAUUUUACUUUACUUAAAACAUAUCUAUAGUUAAUAAAGAUAAUUUGGUAAAAUAACAAAAAAUAGUCUAAACAUUGCACUUUUUAAUGUGUAAAAACUUUAAACGUCGUUCAUUUGAAAAUGGAUUAAGGAUCGUAAUAUGCUUGUAGUUUUUUUUUUCAUAAAGGUAGAAUAUAAUAUGUAAGUAGUUUGUUUAUAUAAUAUAAUUAAUAUUAAGUAACAUAUUAUACUUAUCUUCCUUUCAGAUCUUUAUCUCCUUUAGUAAAAAAAAAGAGACCUGUCUUUCCUUUUUUCCCGGUCCAAAGGUUAGAGGUACCAGUGAUUGGGAUCGAUCUCGGAACCACAUACUCAUGCGUAGGUGUAUGGCAACAUGACCGUGUUCACAUCAUCGCCAACGACCAAGGCAACAGAACCACAUCGUCUUACGUCGCCUUUACUGACUCCGAGUGUCUCAUCGGUGAUGCCGCUAAGAAUCAAGUCUCCUCGAACCCUAUCAACACCGUCUUCGAUGCUAAGAGGUUGAUUGGUCGUAGAUUCAGCGAUAUCUCCGUUCAGAGUGAUAUGAAGUUGUGGCCUUUUAAGAUUAUUUCUGGCCCGGAUGAUAAGCCAAUGAUUGGUGUUAACUACAAUGGUGAAGAUAAGCAAUUUACUGCAGAAGAGAUCUCUUCCAUGUUACUCUGGAAGAUUCGUCAGAUUGCUGAGGCCUACUUUGGCUCUCCCAUUAGGAAUGCUGUUGUUACUGUCCCUGUUUACUUUAAUAAUUCUCAGAGACAAGCUACUAAGGAUGCUGCUGUUAUUGCUGAACUUAAUGUCAUGGGAAUUAUCGAUGAGCCCACUGCUUCAGCCAUUGCUUAUGUUCUUGAAACAACCAGUGUUGGAGAGAAAAAUGUCUUGAUCUUUGACCUUGGCGGUGGUACUUUUGAUGUCUCUUUGCUAACUAUUAUUAAAAAUUAUCAUGGCUUGUUCUGUGAGGUUAAAGCAAUAUCCGGAGACCCCCAUCUUGGAGGUGAGGAUUUUAAUAACAGAAUGGUGAACUACUUUGUUCAAGAGUUCAAGAGAAAGAACAGGAAGGACAUCAGUGGCGACCAAAGAGCUCUUAUGAGGUUGAGGACUGCUUGUGAGAAGGCCAAGAGAACUCUAUCAUUUACUCUCCAAACCACCAUUGAAAUUGUUUGUUUAUUCAAGGGAAUGGAUUUCUUCACCAUCAUUACUCGUGCCAGAUUUGAAGAGCUCAACAUGGAUCUCUUUAUGAAAUGUAUGGAGACUGUCGAGAAACUUUUGAGAUUUGCUAGGAUGGACAAAACAAGUGUCCAUGAUGUUGUCCUUGUAGGAGGUUCUACCAGAAUUCCAAAGGUUCAACAACUAUUGCAGGAUUUCUUUAACAGAAAGAAGCUAUGCGAUAGCAUUAAUCCCGACGAGGUUGUUGCAUAUGGUGCUGCAUUUUACGCUGCAAUCUUGAGUGGUGAGUACAAAAGAAAUGUCCAUGAUGUUGUCCUUGUAGGAGGUUCUUCUUUUGUUAAGAUUAUUUUGGUUAUUGAGAUCUGUUUGUUUCACUUUGAGAUCUGUUUCUUUCCAUUUGCAUGUUGUUGAUGGCUUCUUAAUUCUUUCUCUUUUCCCUCUUUUUUUUUUUCUUUUCCUUUUUGUGAAAUGAGUAUUGUUUCAUCCACAUUGGUUGAUAUUGUUUAAGAUCUGUUUGUUUACUUUGCAUGUUGUUGAUGGCUUCUUAAUUCUUUCUCCUUUCCCUCUUCUUUUUUUGUGAAAUGGGUAUUGUUUUUUGUAUAAUCAUGUUAUCGAUGCGAAAUAUCAACCCAACUUUACUGAUAUCUAAUCUCUGCCGGUGAACCUGGCUCACCACCUUUCCAACCAUGUUUUUCUCAUCCACAUUGGUCGAACAUGAGACCUUGUUUAAGAGAUCAGAGUCUAGUUAAUGUGAAUUUGUUUAUUCUAAUACAUUAGCAAGUGUAUAUUGUGGAAGCUUUGUAUUUUUGUUAUACUUUUAUGUCUUUUAGGGUGUGAUAGGUAGGUGCAUGCUUACUGAUGUUGAUAAAUUUGAAAUGGUUUUGUUGAUAACAUUUUGGUUACAACUUGCAAUCUACGGUUCAUUUAUUUUAAUGGAUUUGAGACAAAUGCAACUUUUUUCGAUAUUUUUUGAAAUAAAGUGAAAUGUCUUUCUGGAUGGACACUUGAACUUUGAUUUUUAAGAAAAUUUAAGCUGUCCCCUGUUCUCACUUGUGUGGUGCUACAAAUUGUUCAUGAAUCUAUUUAUAUGAAAAGAAAAUUUGAGUUUUAUUGUAUCAUAUUAUAAUAUUUCAAUAUCAUCAUCAAUGUCACGAGGGGUAACCUUGGUGCAACUGGUAAAGUUGUUGUCAUGUGACUAGAAGGUCACGGGUUCAAGUCCUGGAAACCGCCUCUUGUGUAAACAACAGAGUAAGGCUGUGUACAAUACACCAGGUUGCCCUUUUUUAUCAUCAUCAAUGUUCACCCAUACUUUGCUGCUUAAUAAUGUAUGUUUGCACACAAACACACAAAAGACUUGCAACUUUAAUGUAUGGUUUUGACACGACCAGCGUUGGAGAGAAGAAUGUCUUAAUCUUUGACCUUGGUGGUGGGACUUUUGAUGCCUCUUUGCUAACUUUUGAAGAGAGUGUCGUUGAGGUUAAAGCUAUAUCCGGAGACACCCAUCUUGGAGGUGAGGAUUUUAAUAACAGAAUGGUGAACCACUUUGUUUAAGAGUUCAAGAGAAAGAAGAAGAAGGACAUUAGUGGCAACCCAUGAGCUCUUAUGUGGUCGAGGACUGCUUGUGAGAAGACCAAGAGAACUUUAUCAUUUACUGUCCAUUUGAGGGAAUUGAUUUCUGCUCCUCCAUUUCUCGUGCCAGAUUUGAAGAGCUCAACAUGGAUCUCUUUAGGAAAUGUAUGGAGCAAGUUGAGAAAUGUUUGAGAGAUGCUAAGAUGGACAAAAAAAGUGUCCAUGAUGUUGUCCUUGUAGGAGGUUCUACCAGAAUUCCAAAGGUUCAAAAACUAUGCAGGAUUUCUUUGACGGAAAGGAGCUAUGCAAUAGCAUUAAUCCCGAUGAGGCUGUUGCAUAUGGUGCUGCAGUUUGUGCUGCAUACUUGAGUGGUGAGUACAAUUAGAAGGUUCAGGAUCUUCUCCUUUUGGAUGUCACCCCUCUAUCUCUUGGUUUGGAGACUGUUGGUGGUCUGAUGACUGUUAUAAGUCUUUCUCAACCUAUUCUGACAACCAGUCUGAUUUGUUGAUCAAAGUCUUUGAAGGAGAGGGAACAAGAAUUAAAGAUAACAAUUUGUUGGGAAAAUUUCAACUUUCCGGCAUCCCUCCUGCUCCUUGGGGUGUUCCACAGAUCAUUGUAUGCUUUGACAUUGAUCCUAAUGGUAUAUUGAAUGUCUUUGCUGAAGAGUGAAGACAAAAACUACUUGCCAGUUGAUCAAAAUCACCAUCACCAAUGACAAGGGAAGACUUUCAAAGGAAGUCAUUGAGAAGAUAGUUCGAGAGGCGGAGAAGUACAACUCAGAAGUUUAAGAGCAUAAGGAGGUUGAGGCCAAGAAUGCUAUGGAAAACUAUACAACACGAGGGACACCAUUAAGGAUGAAAAGAUUGCAGGAAAGCUUGAUUCCAAAGACAAGAAAAUUGAGGACACCAUUGAGGCUACUAUCCGGUGGCUAGACGCCAAUCAGCUUGCAGAGGCAGAUGAGUUUGAGGACAAGAUGAAGGAACCAGAAGGUGUCUGCAACCCUAUCAUUGCCAAGAUGUACCAAGGUGGUGCUGGUCUUGGCAUGGAUGCUGCUCCAGGGAAUGAUGAUGUUCCUUCUGGUGCAGGCGGUGCUGGCUCUAAGAUUGAGGAAGAGAACCAAACUUAGUUACUUUCUUCUGAUAUGUGGUUUAUAUUUUCAUGUAUAAUUUUGUUUUGAUGUAUUAAUCUCGCUGGAUUUAACUUCGACGUUUUGGCUGGUUUGUGAUUUUUUUGGUAUUCGAUUAUCUUCGUACUAUUAAGUGUUAUCUUUUGUUUUAAGUAUUUCAAAAAAAAAAAAAAAAAAAAAAAAAAAGAUAUAUGUAUUAAUCAAAAUACAUUAUAUUAUGUUUAAAAUAACCAAACAAAAAAAAAAAUUAAUACCAAGACUUAGAGUCCAUGCCCGCACAUUAUAUAGACUAUAUCAAUAAUUUUAUGUAAUACUAAAGUUAAUUAAUUAAUCACAAGUCAUUGAUCUUUAUUGUAAUAUGUACUUGUUUUUUAUAUUUUAGAUGUGUUUUAAUAAUAUGAUGCUUAAUAUUUUAUAUGUUGAUUUAAGAGAUUUCAGAUCAUAUUUUAAUUAUGUUGUGAUAUUUUUUUUUUUGUUAUUUAUUACCUUUUUGUUGUUAAAGUGAGGGUAAUGGGCGUGGGUACGAGCGCUUAGAGAUCCAUAGUGUAUGGGGAAGAGCAUCAAACUUGUUAUGAGCUCAGAUAUGGGGAUUUUUAUAAACGAGGAUAUGGGGAUGGACACUGUAGUACCCUACCUAAAGGGUACUCAUUCUGAUCCCCACAAGAAUACAUAAAACUCUAUAGCACCUUUUGAAGGAUCUCUUCAAGGCUUAAUGUGACUAUAGCUACACCAGCUCAACCCAUAUUUUAAAAAAAUAAAAAAUUAUUGUUUUGGUGUGGGAAAAUUUAUUGUUUUGCCAACAAGUACCAAGUCAAUGCCUCACAAGCUGCCAACAUCACACACAAUAUACAAACAAACACUCAGACUCAGAGAAAUCAAUUUUCCUCAAUUCUCAUAUCAUGAAACAUCCGUCAUUGUCUGUCUCUUGUAGCUUCACCUAUGAUUGUACUUGUGAUGUUUUCCUUAGUUUCAGAGGCAUAGAUAUCCGCAACAGUUUCACCGGUAACCUCUACAGGUCUCUUGAUCAAAAGGGUAUUCACACUUUCAUUGAUGUAGAAGAUAUUCAACAAUCGAGGAUCUACAUUGUUGUUUCCUCAACUUUUUAUUAUUUUUAUGUUUUGUAGGUGCUUGAGUCGUUAAGCUUUCUGGAUUUUGAAGGUUGCAAGGUGUUAACUGAGCUACCUAGCUUAUGUGCACUAGUUAAUUUAGUCACGAUUCAUAAGUCGAUUGGUUUUCUCGAUAAACUCAUGCUAUUGACUACUCAAAGAUGCAACCAGCUAAAGUUUUGGUGCCUUACAUCAAUCUGGCAUCUCUAGAGACUCUGGAUAUGAGGGGUUGCUCGUGUCUCAAGAGCUUCCCUGAAGUAUUGGGAGUAAUGGAAAAUACAAGAUAUGUUUAUUUAGACCAAACUUCCAUAGACAAGUUGCCAUUUUCAAUUGGAGAUCUUGUUAGCCUCCAAGACUGUUCUUGAGGCAGUGCAAGAGUCUAACUCAGCUACCAGAUAGCAUUCGUAUAUUACCUAAACUUGAGAUAAUAAAGGAAAGGAGACACUGCUUGAUGUGUGUUCUCUUAAUAUCUAUGCCAACAAUGACAUAGAAGUAUGUAAGCCUUCGUUUGUCAGUAAUGAUUUCGGAUUCGUGUUUAAAGGGAUUUUUUAAGGGAGAGUAAAUUGAUACCAGCAAGGAAUCAAGGAAGCAUCAUUAUGUUUUUGGUUUCGAAAGAAAUUCCCUCAGAUAGCUCUAUGUUGUGCUGGAGAACCUCCUAUGUAUAAAGACAAUAUGUUGUUGGAUUUCAAGUUGAGUGUACUCAUCAAUGGCACUAAGAAAUUCACUUCUUCAUGUAACUUUCUGCAGGAAGGAUAUCAGACCAAAUAUUUUCUUUUAGCCAAAUAUUCUAUCCCCACUUUUCCAAUUUCAGUCUCCCUCCCAUAGCUCCAAAACCCUAAUAGCCAAUUUCAAUCUCACUUUCCCCCAAUUUGAAACCUAAAUCUCUACCACCUAUGGUUCAAUCGAAGCAUUCCCAAAAUUUCAUUUUCCAAUUUCAUUUAAGCUCUCCCCCAAUUUCACCUUCACCCACAAUCUCGGCCAGCAUUGAUAAACAAAGCAGAGUUGAGCUGUGAAAUCAAUCAAGUUCAGUUUUUUAUCAUCUUCUCAACCAGGUUCGUUCCUUCCCUUCUCUCACUAUUCUUAUUCCUUUCUCUCAAUUAUCGAUCCCUUUCCCCUUUCCUUUUCUAGGGUUUCUGUUUUUUUAAUUAACAACCUCACCCUAAUUCAUAAUUUACCUAUCUCUCUCUCUAAUUGAAAUUUUAAUUUAUUUGAUUAAUAUUUAAAUGAAGUAUCUAGUAUAUGUGCUUUUUGUUGAAUCGGUGUGAUUAAGUGUUUUCUUUUACCUAAACGCGAUCUUAUUAUUGUUUAUCAUGAUUAAUCAUUCUAAUUUGUGUCGAUUCUUUUAUAUCAUUAUUGAAUAGCUGGGUUAAGUUUAAUGUGUAACCUAGCUAGAUUGUUUUUUAUCAAGCUUGUGAAUAUUUGAUGCUUCUGAUAAAGGUUCUGUUUGAUUGCAAAACUAGGAAGCUGUUUGGCAUCACGUUGGUUUGUCGCGUCGAAAUCACGUUGAGCUACUUUUUUUGGGUGUAACCCUUCGGUUCUUAAGGGAAAAAGUGUCUUGUAAUUUGGAGUUCAGCGGUAAAGUUUGACCAAGAAUUGCUCUUCUAAGAAAUCAAACUCAGGUGAGCUAUUGUGAUUUUGCAAAAGCUAUAUAGUGUUUAGUUUUGCAAAGUUGCGUUUGAUUUGGUAACGGUAACGAUUUCUGAUCUCAGAUCUGUUGAAUUUUGGUACUGUGGUGAUUCACCUUAUGUUGAAAAAAUUUAAUUGCUCCUUUUUUGUUUUGUUAAUUUCUUGAUCUGUAUGGACAAUUGGAUUCAUAUACAUAUAGGUGUAGAUGAAUCUUGAAUAUUAUAUGUAAGGAUCUUUGCUAUUUUUUUAUUUUGUAAUAUAUUGGUUUUGGUUAUGUUGUUGAUGGAUCUGUCAAUUUUCUAUUACCGAUUUAUUCAUUCUGUAAUAUUAGCAGCUCUUAGUUCUUUGAUUUGGUUUAUCAUGAAUCGAUAGCGCAAAUCAAUAAGGAAAUUUAUCAUUGUUCUGAGUUGUUUGUAUAAUCAUUAUGUUCAUUUUAUGUUGCUUGUUUCUGGUGUGUAGAGAGAAUAGAAAUCUGUGUUUAAUCUUUUUUCUUGUUUUCUCUGAAGUUGUGAUAGCAAUGUUGUUAUGUACCUAGGCAUAUUGGGUUACUGCUAUCACGCAUUUGUGAAUCUCGACUUUUGGAUGAAGAUCAGACUAUUUAUAUUUUGAUCUUCAUUCAAUUUGAUGGAGUCAGAAUACAAAGUCUGAUCUUCAUUCAACUGCCAUGAUCCCUUGAUCGUGUGUCUGCACACUUGAAUAUAGAUUUAGGUAAUGUAAUCCUGAUGUUUGCAUGAAGUAAUUUUAACUUGAGAUAUAUUUUUGAAAGUGACUGGAGAGUUUGCAUUUGUCAAAUUAUAGGGAAAACAUUUAGUUUGAUCCUGGAAAAACACGCGUCUCAAAGAAUAAUAUGUCAGUAGAGAUAACAAAGAGGAUGUCAAAUUUCUGUCUGAGUUUAUGGAAUGCAAGGAGGCUGAGAGAAGAAAGGAAACACUAUUGAUAGAAAAGAUCAAAUGUGGUCUACUGAAAACCGAUCCCCUGUUCUAGAUGAGCAAAACACGGUUUUUUCUGGGUUCACUCAUUCAAAAGUGGAAAAAACAGCGUUUCUUGUCCGUCCAGAACAGGACUUCCGGAUGGAAUCGGUUUUCAAAGAAAGGUGUGGGGAAAUAAAAACAGCUCACUUAUUUUGAUUCAAGAUGUAAACUCCAUCUAAUUCAGUGGAUAAUCCAUAGUAUACCAUAUAAUAUUUUAUGGUAUCUCCAAAAAUAUCUCAUGAGUUUCUCAUUUUUUUUUUCUAUAGUUGUCGACAUGUUUCAGAAAAUACAUAUACACAGAGAUCAAAAUAAAUUAUCACAAAUUAAGAUGUCCCUCAAACAAAAUAUAUUUAAGUAUGUUUCACACAAAUUAAAUAGACAUAUCACAAAAAUUUAUGCUGAGAGUUUUUUCAAUUUAUUGAAAGAAACAUGUUACCAUGGCCACAAAUUAAAUAGAGAUUCUACAUAAAUAUACACACACACACAGAGGAUGCAAUGAGCUGCUUCUACACAGAAUCUCUAACAUUUGGAAAAGUCAUAUAUAUACGUUCAAUCAUUGUACAUGACAUAUAAAUAAUUGAACAUGAUAAUGACACCAUGAAGAUGAACUAAGUACGUAACAACUUAAUUGAUUAUAAAAAAUAAGUGAUGUUAAAACUAUUAUGUGAAAGAAGUAUCAAGAGACUAAUUUAACAUGUUAUAUUCAAACAUUGAAUAUGAGCAUAUACGUCAGGCUCUAGACAUCAUCAUAAUAAUAUUCAUUAUUUAAAGGGAACCAACACUCAACCAUUUCACAUGUUGCAUAUAAGUAAGCAAAAGUCAUAUAUUCACCAAUUAGUUCUACGAUAAUACAUUAAGAAUCUGAUAAAAUAUUUAUAAUCAAAUCAUACUUCAACAAAUUAUUUUCCAUAGAGAAGACUUAGCUGCUAAAUGCCAAAUCAAUGCCUCACUCACUCCCUUGUGGUGCACCUUCCUUCAACCUUCUCAGAAUUUUCACCUACAACACAUUCAGUUCAUUUAGAUAUCAACUUAAUUUCUUCUACAUAAUAUACAAACAAACAUCAAAAACAACACUCAGACUCAGAUAAAUCUGUUUUACUCAAUUCUUGCAUCAUAUCAUGACACAGCCUUCAUUGUCUGUCUCUUCUAGCUUCACCACCUAUGAUGUUUUCAUCAGUUUUAGAGGCAUAGAUACCCGCAACAAUUUCACCCGUGACCUUUACGAUAUUCUUGAUCAAAACGGUAUUCACACUUUCUUUGAUGAACAAGAAAUUCAAAAAGGAGAAGAGAUCACACCAUCACUUCUUCAAGCUAUUCAACAAUCUAGGAUUUUCAUUGUUGUUUUCUCUAACAACUAUGCUUCCUCUACUUUUUGUUUGAAUGAACUUGUCAUGAUCCUUGAGUGUUCCAACACACAUGGACGCUUGUUUUUGCCUGUAUUUUAUGAUGUCGAUCCAUCACAAGUUCGCCACCAGAGUGGUGCUUAUGGUGAUGCUUUGAAAAAACAUGAGAAGAGAUUUUCUGAUGAUAAGGUGCAAAAAUGGAGGGAUGCUUUAUGUCAAGCUGCUAAUGUUUCUGGCUGGGAUUUCCAACACGGGUACAGUAUUUUAAUAAUCUCAUACCAUACUUUUAUGCAUUUAUUUUAAUUACCGUUCCUUUGCUUGUCUAAUAGCUUAUAUAUAGACGAUUUUAUAAUGCAAAAGAAAUAUCAGAUUCAAUUCUAGAUGAAGGGAACAUAGCAUGUUAAGUUUAUGUGCACCAAUUAACCUCAUAAUAUGUUAUGUUUUUCAUAAGUUCAGUUGUACUUCACAAAUUGAUUUCUGAGUAAUGGUUUGGUAAGGGACUAAUUUGACUGAUAUUUGUGACUUUUAAGAACCAAAUUGAUGCUCUUUAUUUCUUUGGACCCAAAUAGGUCUCAGUGUUUUUUCUCAUUGACAUUUGACAAGUUUAGACCUUUACUUAAUCGAAUGAUGAAUUUGUGAAUUGUGAAACCGGAAAAACAGAUUUGUGAUAAGUUGACACAUUAUGUGACUAACCAAAGUAACAGAACUUGCAUUGCAACUUCUAAACACCUAUUUGUAUUUUACUUGUAAUUAAUUGACCAAGAUGAAGUACUAAGAAUCGGUUCAGUGCUUCUGUUUCAAAUCAGGUAUACUUUUGUGUUGUGUAGGUCACAAUCAGAAUACAAAUUUAUUGGAAAUAUCGUUGAGGAAGUCACUAAGAAGAUCAAUCGGACUACUUUACAUGUUGCUGAUAACCCAGUUGCAUUAGAGUAUCCAAUGUUAGAAGUAGCAUCUCUUCUAGGUUCUGGACCUGAAAAGGGAACCAACAUGGUUGGAAUUUAUGGUAUCGGUGGUGUAGGUAAAUCAACAUUGGCUCGUGCAGUUUACAACCAUAUUUCUGAUCAAUUUGAUGGUGUGUGCUUUCUUGCUGGCAUAAGAGAAAGUGCAAUUAAUCAUGGUCUUGCACAACUCCAAGAAACGCUACUUUCUGAAAUACUUGGAGAGGAGGAUAUUAGAAUAAGAGAUGUUUAUAGAGGAAUUUCAAUUAUAAAAAGGAGGCUCCAAAGAAAAAAGGUACUUUUGGUUCUUGAUGAUGUUGACAAAGUGAACCAGAUACAAGUACUUGCAGGAGGGCAUGAUUGGUUUGGCCCCGGCAGCAAGAUUGUAGUCACUACAAGAGACAAACAUUUGUUGGCUAUUCAUGAGAUUCUAAAUUUAUAUGAGGUUAAACAGUUGAAUCAUGAAAAAUCUCUUGAUUUGUUUAACUGGCAUGCCUUUAGAAACAGAAAAAUGGAUCCAUGUUACAGUGAUAUUUCAAACCGUGCAGUUUCUUAUGCUUCUGGCCUUCCAUUGGCUUUGGAAGUAAUAGGUUCUCACUUGUUUGGCAAAAGUUUAGAUGUAUGGAAAUCUUCAUUAGAUAAAUAUGAAAGAGUUCUUCACAAAGAGAUUCAUGAAAUUCUUAAAGUUAGCUAUGAUGAUUUGGAUGAUGAUCAGAAGGGUAUUUUUCUUGACAUCGCUUGUUUCUUCAAUUCUUAUGAAAUGAGCUAUGCCAAAGAAAUGCUAUACCUACAUGGUUUUAGUGCUGAAAAUGGAAUUCAAGUGCUGACCGACAAAUCCCUCAUAAAAGUUGAUGGCAAUGGUUGUGUGAGAAUGCAUGACUUAGUUCAAGACAUGGGCAGAGAAAUCGUGAGGCAGGAAUCAACUGUGGAGCCUGGCAGACGCAGUAGAUUAUGGUUUGAUGACGACAUAGUUCAUGUUUUGGAAACAAAUACGGUACGUGCCAACGUCAAAACAUAUAAGUUGUUCUUCUGGUUGAUAACUACUAAAAUUCUAGAUUCUUAUUUAUCCAUUCUCAAUUAUAAGUGUUUAACUAAACUUAUUUUCAUAAGAAAAGGAUGUUAUUAUUUCGAAUUUGUAAUUUCUUGAGAUUUGUUGAUGAUAUUCAUAAACUUUACAUUCUGAUCAAAUAAUGAUUUGGAAUUGAAAGGGCACUGAUACAAUUGAAGUCAUAAUCAUGAACUUGUGCAAUGACAAAGAAGUGCAGUGGAGUGGAAAAGCCUUCAACAAGAUGAAAAACCUGAAAAUUCUUAUAAUUAGAAGUGCACGCUUUUCUAGAGGUCCUCAAAAACUACCAAAUAGUUUGAGAGUUCUAGAUUGGAAUGGAUACCCUUCACAAUCUUUACCAGCAGAUUUCAAUCCUAAGAAUCUUAUGAUACUUAGCCUUCCUGAAAGUUGUCUUGUAUCGUUCAAAUUGCUCAAGGUAUGUAUUUUUUUUUUACACAUUAAACUGGUUUAUGCAUAGCAAUGCUGUGUCUUUUAGGUCUAUGAAUGUUAUUUUUAAGAGGUUUGGUUUUGCAAUCUAGAAAGGGUUAGUAGUGCAGCUUGUUGUCUAUCUGCCUUUCGUUCCUAUGUGUGUGUGUGUAUAUAUAUGGUACUAAAAAAGUUAACAAUUAAACAAUUAACCUUGUUUGAAUGAAAGAGCAUGCCAAUUAGAUGCAUUUGUUACUGGUCACUAUAAUGUGAGUAUCCAGUAAAUAUCUCAUAAUUUCAUUAUUUUAAUGUUUUGUAGGUGUUUGAGUCCUUGAGCUUUCUGGAUUUUAAAGGUUGUAAGUUAUUAACUGAGCUGCCUAGCUUAUCUGGACUAGUUAAUUUAGGGGCACUGUGUCUUGACGAUUGCACUAAUUUAAUCAGGAUUCAUGAGUCGAUUGGUUUUCUCAAUAAACUCGUGCUACUGAGUAGUCAAAGAUGCAAACAGCUAGAACUUUUGGUGCCCAACAUCAACCUGCCAUCUCUAGAGACUCUAGAUAUAAGGGGUUGCUCGCGUCUCAAGAGCUUCCCUGAAGUAUUGGGAGUAAUGGAGAAUAUAAGAUAUGUUUAUUUAGACCAAACUUCCAUAGGU
rnacentral:lncRNA from 1 species